rnacentral:lncRNA from 1 species
GCAUCCACGUCAGUACGAUGUCAGGGUACGUGACGGGAAAACGCGUCCUCAAGGACGCACUUUGUUCACAUGAAUAGAAAACGCGCUGACGUGGAAGCGUUUUGUUGCCACGUCAGCGCGUCCCAGGAGACGAGUUUUCCUCACGCGUGAACAGUGUCAACAGUUAUUUUUUUACUGUUGGCCCCGCCAACGGUAAAAAAAAUAUAAAAACCCCUCACCCCUUCAUUUUUUUGACAAAUUAAUUAUUUCUCAAUUUACUCUCAAUUUCCUUUCAAAUUUCUCUCAAAUUCAUAUUUAAUCUCAAUUUGCUCUCAAUUUGCUCUUAAAUUUCUCUUAAAUCGCUAUUUUUAAUUAUUUUAAAAAAAUUUAAAUUUUUUUAAAAAAAUUUAAAUCGUAAAAAUUUGUACGAAUUUAGCAAUUGCCGGAGAAUUGAUUCGUCUUGAUAACAAGCACAUAUCCAUCGAACAAAUGAAAAUGGUAAGUGUGAAAUUUAUUUUUUAAAUAUUAUUUAAGAUUUUUUUAUUUAUGUAUUUUUAAAUAAUUAUUAAAUAAUUAUUUGUUAUAAAAGUCUGUAGAUCGAAUAUUGGAAUGCUAUAUCCGGAAUAUGCAUGGUCCUCCAUCACCGUUGGUAGAGAAUUACCUGCGGGAAGUGGGUUUUUGGCACAUGGCGACAGUAGGCCGGGGAUGCAAGUUGGACCCGAAACUUAUCAGUACGUUGGUUGAAAGGUGGAGACCCGAGACGCACACAUUCCAUCUUCCAUGUGGAGAGUGCACUAUCACUUUGGAAGAUGUCAAUAUGCAAUUGGGAUUAUCGGUGGACGGGUACCCAGUCACCGGGUCUGUUCAAUUUGGCGAUUGGGGAGUGGUGUGCUAUGAGCUUUUAGGCGCUAUUCCGGAGAAAAUUAACGGAGGUUAGAUCGAGAUGGGCUGGUUACAAGACACAUUCCUAGAUCCGGAUGAUGAUUCAACCAAAGUAGAAAGAAUCCGAUAUGCUCGGGCAUACAUUCUUCAGAUAAUUGGAGGUUAUCUGAUGCCGGACUUGUCACGAAACCUUGUACAUCUAAUAUGGCUGCUAAAACUCGUUGAUUUUAGAGCAGCUGGAGAAUUGAGUUGGGGCUCUGCCGUGUUGGCAACAUUAUAUCGGGAGAUGUGCGGGGCGACGCGACCGAGUAAAGCGAAAAUCGGAGGUUGCCUGUCACUACUGCAGUCACGGGCACGAUUUCGCUUUCCAUUUUUACGUCAUCGAGUGUACCACCUAUAUACAUUCCCACUAAUAACGAGGUAAAUUUUAUAUUAGAUUUUAUAAUUAUUACGUAGAUUUUUAAAAAUAAUAGUAUGCUAAAAAUUUUAUUUAAUUAGGUGGAACCGUCCGGCAACUUUUGCUCGAUUACCUACCUCUCUUGAAGAUAUACGGCUUCUAUUGGACCAACGGUCGGAAGCACAAGUAAGUAUUAAAUAAAAUAGAUAUUUUCAUAAUGAGAUAGUCUAUUAGUAUUUAGUAUUCAGUACAUAACUAAUAUUUCCAUCAUGGUCAUAUAAUUUGAAUAGACACCAUACGAGGAUCCGACAAUUCAGGCAGUAAUUCCGGAUGAGUACUUCCAAAAUCGAAACGGUUGGUAUGUGAAAGUCUCAUUGGUCAACUUUGCGACUGUGGAGAUACACCAGUCGGACAGAGUAUUACGAAAAUUUAGAUUCCGACAACCGAUUCCCGUGGCACUUAAGGUGUUGGAUGAUCAUCACAAAAUCGACCUACGAUAAUUGCAUACGGAUUGGCCGAGAUUCUGGUCACACUACAUCCAAAUGUGGGAAGAUCGGUAUGACUAUAUACCUACUUGGGAACCGAUCAUAGUUCCAGAAUUAUUGUGCGUACCGGAAUACAUGCCAUGGUUUAGGAUCAAUGGGAAACUGUAUUUACACUCGCCAGAGGAGAGGCAGCGGUAAUUGAGUGAACAAAAGGAACGACGUGGCCCUUUAAAUCCAAGAAGAAUGGACGACGACGCAGACCCAUCAACGAGGCCCAAAAAUUCACCCGGCCCAUCAUCAGCGCCCAUAACUUCAUCAGGCCCAGUAACAACACCGACACAGUCACCCAACCCAAUAGGUCAACCGACGAUACACACGGUACAGCCUUUUCAGAUGAUGCCAGGUGCGUAUCCUAACCCUUUUAUAUAUCCUAACCCUUAUAUGUUUCCUUUUUCUAGUCUCAUGACAGGUUGCAGUCAAUGGCCAGGUUCAUUUCCAUUUUUGACUACGCCGAUUGGACCGCCGAUGUAUAGGUCAUCGUCGCAGGAAGGAUCGCAAGAGGGGCCGUCGGGGAGCUCUUCUUUUUACCAAACGCCAUCACCGUAUGGGUUUCAAACACCUUCGCUGAUGGCGAUGCAAACACCUCCACAUUCACUAUUAUAUCAAGGUGGCUCAUCGUCUCAACACCGACAACCAGAUCCCCUACCGGAUGAACCAGAAUCCCCGCCAGAGCAACCACAACCCCUGCCGAAAGCUGGACAAAGAAGGAAUCCAGCGCGUAACCGUCGAUGACCGCUAUGUGGCACUGAAUCCAGCGGUCAUGGAGAUUGAUUUUUAUUUUAAAAUAUUUGUACAAUUUAGUUUAUAUUAAUGUAAUAAAAUACAAAAUAGUUUAAUUUGAAUAUUUUGAUAUUAUUUGAUGUAAUAAAAUACAAAAUAGUUUAUUUUGAAUAUUUUGAUAUUAUUUAAUGUAAUAAAAUAAAAAAUAGUUAAUACUCUUAAUAAUAAAAAUUAUUUUAAAUAAUUCAAUAUGUUGAACACUUGACAUAUUAUUUCAUUUCACAAAAUAGACAAAUAUUCUUAAUAAUACAAAGUUGUUUACAAUGACGUUCAACUAUUACGAUUUGGGCAUGAUCUUCACAACUUGCCUUGACUGGCUGUUUAUCGGAUAUCCAUAUUAUUACGUAUUCUAGUCGAGUAAGGUCGACCCUUCGGUUUGCGACACAAUUCACUAUCCGGUAACAGCUUAAAAGGACCAAGUGAUACGAGCGGCCACUUACGUUCAUCUGGGACUGGUGGGAAAACGUGUCUCCAAAUGUUAUACAUGUUUUCUAAUUUGUACACUUCGUCGACAUAGCUCAUUGGAUCCAGACGGAGAUUCUGACAAGCUACAAUUACAUGAGCGCAUGGAUAACGAAGUGCAUCAAACAUCCCACAGUCGCAAGUCCUAUUUCGCAAGUGUACACGAUAUUCCUCGCCAAUAACACAUUGGUGCGGUCUGUCAAACUCUGUCACACGAAACCAUAAGUUGUCUCGAUCGUGACACACUAUGUGCAUGGUGUUCGUCCGCACAUUGGCCUUGUUAAUUUCUUGCACUACCUUACUGCACCAUACAUGGCCUCCCUGCAUCUAGCCUGCAUAACUCGCUGCUCGCUUUGGAAAUAGCGCCGCUAAACGAAAAUAUAUCUUGAGCACAACCGAUGUUAUCAGUAGAUGGCGCGUUCCUUUUAGAACAGAAUUUAUACAUUCAGCCAGGUUUGAGGUCAUAUGACCAUAUCGUAGGCCGCCGUCGUAUGCUUGUGCCCACUGUUCGAAACGUAUGUUGCAAAGGUAGUCCGCGUCUUCGCUGUUAAUUGAACACAAAACUACCAACAUCUCGUGAAAACGGUUUUUAUUUAUUUUAUACCCUGCCAAUAUAAGUUCAUAGCGAAUAUUACAUACCACAUUUUCAUUUACAAUAAAUUCAAAAUGACAAACGAAAUAAUAUUAAUAGAGACUAAAUACCCAUGUUGGUCACUUGUCGUCGUUUGCUCUUAGAUGGAUAUUGCCUGUAGUAGUUGGAAGCAAUGUGCCUUAGGCAAUAUCGAUGGUGUGUGCGCUGCCAUAAGCUUCUAUGUCGAUCAAAUCAAGCUAGUAUACCCGUCCCCGAUCUGAAAUAACACAGAUAUCAGGUUAGGGGCACACAUGCCUCCUUAACCUAGGUAAAAAGAAAUCUCAGUCAUCAGAUUACUCCCCCGGUGUUAUUACAAACGCAAUUGGAAGAAUUUUCCCACUGCCAUCCUAUGCCACUGCAAGUAAUAGCCGAUGAGUAUACCUACCAAACAUAAAGGUACCGUCAAUUUGUACCAGUCGCAAGUACAUCAUUUGGCGAUGUAAAUUGUACAUAUAACUCAACAUAAGGUGCUCCACUAGCAAGAUGGGUCUGCACCAUUACCUCCAAGCUACGAGCACCUUUUAUGUCGAACGAGUCAUAUAUCACCGGAUCAACAGAAGAACAAAAUCGAUAUGUAAUAGACAGAACUUUCAUUGGUGUCGUUCCAAAAAUUUUACGCCUAAUUCUUUUACGAAGUUCUGUCAAAUCUAUGUUCUGCUUAAAAACCAGUCGCACUGUAUUCUCUGAUAAAAAAACAACACCGUUCUCGGUGUGGCAAACCUCACCAUCAUAGUAAAUAACAGCACUAAUACGUUCACUCAUCUUUAAUUUCUAACCUUCUUAGCCUCUCUAAAUUGUUUUUGCUGUAACUUAUGCAAUCUGAGAACAUUUUUUGCCUCAUUUAUAGCCUCAGCCCAAACAUGCUACUGUAGCAAAAGCGCGUCCACGUGGGAGCGAUUUCAAAAAUUCUUCUGAUAAAGCAUCCUGCUUGAAGCGUUUUUUAUACUAUUUGCUCAGAAACGUCAACUCGAAAUUAUUUUUUCAGGACCUACUGUAGCAAAAGCGCGUCCACGUGGGAGCGAUUUCAAAAAUUCUUAUGAUAAAGCAUCCUGCUUGAAGCUUUUUUUAUACUAUUUGCUCUAAAACAUCAACUCGAAAUUAUUUUUUCAGGACUUACUGUAGCAAAAGCGCGUCCACGUGGGAGCGAUUUCAGAAAUUCUUCUUAUAAAGCAUCCUGCUUGAAGCGUUUUUUAUACUAUUUGCUCAGAAACGUCAACUCGAAAUAUUUUUUCAGGACCUACUGUAUAAAAAACGCGUCCACGUGGGAGCGAUUUCCUUAAUAAAUUUUUAAUUAAAUUACUCAGUAAUCCUAAACCCUAAUUUAAUUGAUUUUUUAUUAAAAAACCAUAAACAUGAAACCUAAUCCAAUUUUUUAAAAAAUAUAAUUAAUUUAAUUAAUAAACCCUAAUCCCUUAUUCGUUUAGUUUUUUCUCCAAAAGCCUAAAAAUCCUAAAAACCCUAAACCCUAAACCUAACCCUAACCCUAACCCUAAAAACCCAAAACCUAACGUGGGAGAAAUGGGCAAAACGCGUCCCAGGGGAGCACUUAUGUAGCAGCAAAAUGCGCCAUUGAGGGAGCGAUUUAUGUCCACGUAGGCAAAGUGCGCCCUCAGGGACGCGUUUUUCUGCCACGUCCCCUGACAUCGCGCUGACGUGGGCACACUUUCGGGGAAAAUGGUCAUUUCGGUAAAUUUAAAAAAAAUGGGGCUUUUAAUGGUGUUUUGCCCUUUUAUUUCGUACUUUUUUGUUUUAUGUAUUAAAUUUUUAGAUAAAUUACAUUUAAGUCGUUAAAUUUUAUAUUUUAAUUAUUCAAUUUUAAAAAUUACAAAAUAAUAAUUGAUUAAAACAUUAAAAUUUUAAAUAUGAUAAUCUGCAUGGAAAUCUAUAUAUAGUUUUUUUCUAUUUUUUUAAAUUUUAAAUUUUUAUAGUUCUUCAAAUAUUUUUAUAAUUUUUAAAUAAUUUACAAGUAUUUUAUAUAAGAAAAAUAAUGUCGUGUCAAUAUGAAAUAUACGUGAAAUGUCAUGUCAUGUGAGUUGUUAUGUCAGCAUCAUUAAAAAAAUUAAUGUUUUAAUUAGCAUAUCUGUUAAAAACAAAUUAACUCUUUUUAAAAAUUAAAGACUAAUUUAACUCAAAAGAAUAAGGAUCAAAAUGAUAAUAAAAAAUCCUAAUAGAGUUGAUUUCUAGUGGAGAAAUAAUCCUAAUGGAGUUGUACUUUUGGAUUAAUGGGCAACUAUUAAGUUUGUUUUAUUUUUAUAAAAUAUACCAUACACAGAUUAUAGAAUAUUGAUAAAAUAAAUUAACAAAAGAUUAUAUAUUUUAUAAUAUAUUUUUAUAAUUUUUAUAAUAUUUUACUACAGUGUACCAAAAAAAUCAUUAUUUUUUGAAUACAUAAGUUUAUAAAUUUCUGAUUAAAGAUAAAAGUUUUUAUGAUGGUAGAUAUUUAAUUUUCUUUUCAAAAAAAAUAAUUAUAGGGUAAAUUAUAUUGAUAUUCUCUUUAAUUAUAAUUUUUUUUAUUUUAGGCACUCAAAAUAAAAAGUUUAUACAUUAUAUAGUUCAGUCAUUUUGAUCAUUUUCGUUAAAAUACAGACAGUAAGUUGACGUGACAAUUAAAAAAAUAGGUAUAAUAACAAAUUUAACCUUCAACUUUUAUAUAUUAUAUCGAUUUAGUCAUAAUUUUAAAAAUUAGCCCUCAAAAUUUACAAAUAUUCUCAAUUUGAUCAAAAUUAAAAAAAUAUAUAAAAAUACAUAAAUAUUUUCAAAAAUAAAAUAAAAACCCUUCCUUCCUCGUGCCUCUCCCCGUAUCCCUCUUCUUUUUUCUCCCAUUUGAGUGAUUCAAAUAUCAGUGUAAUUUAUGGUUGGUUAGCUCUCAAAUUGCAUGCAUAUAAAAAAUCUCAGUGUUCAAUAAAUAGAAUUUUCCUGAAAUCCCAGAUUUUCCUUGAUUUUCUCAUCCACCAAAUCAGAAAGAAGGCACAAGCUUUUCAACUAUAUAUUCACUUCUGUUUUGAUACUUGAAUACUAAAAUAAGAAACCAAUAUAAUUCAGAAGCUAAAUAAUGAAUAAAGCUUUUGAAAAAUGAAGGUAUGUGGAAUGAGAGUGCUUGCAUGGCUUGUUUGGGGUUGGUGAAUGGUGGGUUAAUAGUAGAUAUGAUUGUGUUGUGGUGGUGAGGGUGGAGAUCUCCAUAUUUAAAAAAAAAAAUUAAGACAUAAUUAUAAAUUUAGCUUAACCUUCAUAUGUUUUGUUAAUUAGAUUUUUUUAGUUAAAUUUAAUUAUUAAUUCUUUAAAAAGAUAAAAUCGCUUUUUUAAUAAAAAUAUUUAUUAAAAUAUUAAUGUUUAACGAUGUUAGCGUAGUAAUCAGCAUGGUAAUUUACUUAUAGUUCAUACUAACAUGGCACUAUUUAUCUUAUGCCACAUUACCAAAAUAAUUAAAAUUUAUAAAAUAUCUUAAAAUAAAAAAAUAGUAUGAAGUACAUGUGAAUUGUUAUAUGGGCUGUCAUGUUUAAAAAUUUAAUAUUUUUAAUCAUUAUUGUCAUUAAAAAAAUAAUUUGACUAUUUUUCAAAGGUUGAUAGUUAAAUUCGACUCUUUUUUAAAAAGUUAAGGAUCAAAUUUAACUCAAAAGAAGAAUAAAGAUCAAAUUAAAAAGUGUAAACGUUAAGAACUAAAUUUUUCAUUAUGCCUAAAUUUAAAAACAAAAGUAAAGAAUUUGAAAAAUAAAUCAAACAAGACAAAUCAAAGCAUACCAAAACAAAAAAAAGAAAAAAAAAAUUCAAACACUAUAUACAACCUAAAUAAAAGUAUUGAUUGAGCCUUAAUUUAGUACUGUUAUUGUUAUAAUAAUAAUGAAUAUGCAAGUUUAAAUAUGUUUAAAUGUAUUUUCUUUCUAUCUAAGGGUUUGAAAGGUAUAAAUAAAAAUAGACUAAAAUUAAAUAAAAUCAUGCCCAAACAAAAAUAUAUUUCUAAAAAAGGAUAAAAUUUAAGGACUCUUUUGAUAUAUUUAACUCGAAUUUUAACAUAUUGUUAAUUAAUAAUAUAGUCUUAUCUAAUAUUAUCUAGGGUGUUGUAGCGACGUAAAAAUUUUGGUUUCGGGUCGCUAAUUGUGGCAAUCUAGUGAAAAAGUUUGGAAACUGAAGUUCGAUUUUAAAAUAAAGAGGGAGUCGCCACCGAUCCUUUUUCCUAGGUGUGAUCGGACACCUAAUAAAUUUAUUUUUAAAACAAAAGAAGGCCGAGUUUAGGUCUACGUUAAAAUCAGAGACAAAGUAGGGCUCGGGAGUCAGUUACGCGCGAGGAAGGUAUUAGCACCCUCGCGACGCCCAAAAUUGGUAUCUUUUAAACAUGUGUUGUCUUAAUUUUCAAAAAGGCUAGUUCAAUUUAAAUUCCAACCGUGAUCCGAUUUAAAAGACGAGAACUUUCAAUUUUUGAUUUUUGAGAAGGAUAUACCAUUUUAACAUGAGCCGACAAAUUCCAUCCAACAUAGCGAUGAGAUUUACGACUUAAUGUUAAAUCGAUAUAUUGCCUCGAUUAGUAAUUAAAACAUAAAAGAUAUUCAUGAAAUAAGAAUAAAUCAAAGAAGCAAACAAUGACAUUAUCAAUGAAAAAAGUUAACAUAAUACUAGAGCAGUAGCAAAACAGUAAUAAUAAUAUUUAAAAGAGAAAUAAAACCAAACAUGAAUAAAUAUAAAGUACAUUUAGUAAUAAUAAUAUAAGGUAACAUAUAAAUAUGCAAAAAUAUAAUAUGUGACAUAUAUACAUGAUGUAUGAAAAUAUAAUGCCUAAUAGACAUAUAUGUGCAAUAUUACUAAAUAUAUACGUACUAGAUACAAGUACACAUAGUAUAAUUGAACAUAUACAAUAAUAUUAGGAAUACUAUGGACAAGGAAAAUACAUUUAUACUAAUAAUAGUAAGAUGUAUGUACACCAAAUAAUAAUAUAAUAAGUAGCAAUAGGGAAAAUAAUAAAUACAAAAUCAAUAAUACGACAUACACAAAUGAUACAAAUAAGGAAGGUAUAUAUACGUAUGAUAAAAUAAAUGUAUUAAAAUUAAUAACAAAUACAAUAUGGGUAAAAAUAAAUAUAUACGUGAUAUAUACGUGAUGUGGUACUAAGAAAAUAUAUAUAUACAAUAUAAUAUUUAAAAUAUAUACAUAAGAUGGUAUAGAAAUAUGUACUUGGAAAUGUAUAAGAACUAUAUAUAAAUACUAUAUGUAAAAUAUAUUAAAAUAGAGACAUAAUAUACGUAGAUAAAUAUAUAUAUAUAUAUAAAACAAAUAUGUGUAAUAUAAUUUUAGGAUAUAUGCGUAAAUGUAUAUAUAUUUAAAGAAUGCAUAGGUGAUAUACAAAUAUAUUAACAAGAUAAUGAUAUUAAACCCUUAAUAAUAUUAAAUAACAUAUACAGGUUAGUAUUAAGUAGAAUAACAACAAUAAAAUACUAAAAAUAUAAUAAUAAUAACAUUAAUAGAAUAUAUUAGUAUAAAUAAUAUUGAAAUUAAAAUAAAAUAAUGAGGAAGAAAAGAAAAAAAUGGAUUUAAGAAGAUAAUAGAGAAAAAUAAAAAAAACAAAAUCACCUUCCGAUUUAUGUUUUCGUUCCUUGUUUCCCUUUUUUUUGUAUUUUCCUCUGCUUUUUGUAUCAAAAUGCCGAAAAAAAAACAAAGAAAACCCCCCCAUUUUACAGUGUUUCAUUCGGCUUUUUAUAGCCUGUUUUGUUACACACUUUGUUAUUAUUUUUUUUCUAUUCUUGCUUCUGCUUUGCUUGUCUGUUGUUUUUGCAGGGCAUGGCCGGUGUUGGUGGUGGGAGUGUCAGACGGUAUGGGACUGUUGUAGUGGAGGUAUGGGGCUGUUGUAGUGGGGGUAUGGGGUUGCUUCAUGGUUACGGCGCAGAACAAAAGGGGGGGGACUUAGGGUUGCUGAGAUAUUUUGUGUGUUGGGCUAGGUGGGCUUUUAGGGUUUUUGUAUUAUUUGGGUUAAUCGAGUUUGGGUUGUAAGAGGGGGCAAUGGGCUUGGUAUUAGUGGGCCAAAAUUGGCCUACUACAGCUGCCCCUCUUUGCUCAUUGUCGUGUAACGGGAAUAGAGCAAAGACACAAAGAAAGGCCAAUUUUGCCUGGUCUUGCUGGGUCUUGGUGCUCUUCUAGUUCAGAUAAUCUUCUUCCAGUCCACUGCAUCUUGUAGCUUUAGAUUCAAUCCACUACAUCUUCUGACAUAUGCCUUGUAGCUUCGAUCUACUCCAAUGUAACUUCAAGGAUAUGAGAUUUGUGGCUUUGAUCUGCUUCCAUGCUGCUUCAGAAAGGUGAGGUCUACAGCUUUAAUCUGUUCUUCUAUCGCUUCUGUGAGAUGAAAUUUGCGAUCUUCUCUUCUGUAACUCUAGCAAGGCAAGAUCUGAUAUUCUCGAUCAGCUCCACUCUGCAACUUCAGGGAGUCAAGACUUGCAACUUUGACCUGCUCCAUUGCAACUUCAGGAAGGCCACAUUUGGUAUCUUUCAUCAACUUCAAUCUUUAUUCUUACUUGGCAUGUGAUCUUGAGCCCAACUCAUUUCUCACAAUAUGAAUUGGCUCUUUAAAAACAGACAUUAAAAACAAAAACUAAAGAUAUCUCAACAUGUGAACUGAGGCUCAACUCACUUUUCGCAAUAUGAGUUGAUUUUUUUUGACAACAGAAAUUGAAAUUACCUCAGCGUGUUCUGAGGUUCAACUCACCUCUCGCAAUAUGAGUUGAUUUUGAAAAAGUAGAAAUUAAAAGGUUCAACCCACCUCUCGCAAUAUGAGUUGAAAUUAAAACACACAAAAAAUUGAAAAUACCUCAGCGUGCCCCGAGGCUCAACUCACCUCUAGCAAUAUGAGCUGAUUUUGAAAAAGUAGAAAUUAAAAGGUUCAACCCACCUCUCGCAAUAUGAGUUGAUUUUUUUGAAAGUAGAAUUUGAAAAUACCUCGGCGUGCCCCGAGGCUCAACUCACCUCUCGCAAUAUGAGUUGAUUUUUGAAAAAACAGAAAUUGAAAUUACCUCAGCGUGUCCUGAGGCUCAACUCACCUCUCGCAAUAUGAGUUGAUUUUGAAAAACAAAAAUUGAAAUUACCUCAGCGUGUCCUGAGGCUCAACCCAUUUCUCGCAACAUGAGUUGAAAUUUGGAAAACAAAAAUUAAAAGGCUUAACUCACUUCUCGCAAUAUGAGUCAAUUUAAAACAUAAACUAAAAAUACCUCGGCGUGCCCCGAGGCUCAACUCACCUCUAGCAAUAUGAGUUGAUUUUUGAAACAAAAGGAAUUAAAAUACCUCAGCGUGACCUGAGGCUUGACUCACCUCUCGCAAUAUGAGUCAAUUUUCCUUGGAAAGCAUGAAUUAAAAACAUCAAAAUACCAACCAGUCCUUUGGUAGAACUCGGGUAUCUUUUCCUUUGAUUCAGUGCGACUCUCAUUCAAGAUUUGUUGCUUUACUGGAUUACCUGUAUAUGCCAUGCAUGAUGUUAUCAUGAUAUGCACAUGUUUGUCUUAAAUGUCUUUAUGCCUACAUGAUUAUGCAGUGUUCCUUAAGCAUAUUGGUCGUAUGCCAUUUUCGCCAUGAUUGUUGAGGAUCUGCGUUCAUUGCUUUGAUUCUCGACCUUCUCUUCAGGCCUCAUACCUGUCUUCGAGCUUUACGAGUAAUCGACGUUUCUCAGAUAUCACCCUUUUGCCCUUGGUUGAACUUUGUUCUUGCUUUGAAGAUCUUGCACUUAUCAAAUUCUUAUCCGGGUAAUGCUUGACAUUUCUUUUGUUUAGAGUAUGUCAUUUCACUAUUUAUCAUUAAAUAAACACAUAAUGAGAUGCAUGAAAAUGGUCAGGUAAGGACAAAAAGGAUAUCUCAUAUUCCUUUAUUUCAAAUGCGGCAAACAAAGAAAGUUAACCAAUGAGAGUAAAAAUGUCAAAAAGAAAGAAAAGGCCGUAUUCAACGGAUACAAAUGCUCUAGAUAUUCAACACAUGAACUUUUCCACGUUCCUCAAUCAAUAAUCUUUUCGAGCAUGGCUUCUUGCGUAGAAAAUUUUGAGCUUUCAGAAGUGCUUCAAAUACUGUAGUCUCACUACUUGACCUAUCGUUCGACCGCCAGGUUUGUUUCAUUAGGACGCCCUCUCGGGUUUUCAUCCUAAUCUUUUUGUACUAAUCAAGACGCCCUUUUCGGGUUUUCGCCCUGAUCCCUUUUUUUUUUUAGAUGCCAUUUUCGAGUUUUCAUCUUAAGCAUAAUAUUUCUUCACCGCAUCUGAAUUCACCGGAUUCGGUAACUCCUUCCCGUCCAUCUCGGUAAGGAUUAAAGCUCCUCCCGAGAAUGCAUUUUUUUACAACGUAUGGUCCUUCCCAAUUUGGUGCCCAUUUUCCUCGCAGGUCUUUUUGUAUUGGGAGAAUCUUUCUCAGAACGAGUUCUCCUUCAUGGAACUCUCUUGGUCGUACCUUCUUGUCAUGGGCUGCGAUCAUUCUCUUUUGGUACAUUUGCCCAUGACAAAUUGCCCUUCGACGUUUUUCUUCAAUGAGGUUCAACUGAUCAUAUCGAGCUCGAAACCAUUCUGCUUCUUCUAACUUUGAUUCCAUCAAUACUCGCAGAGAGGGGAUCUCAACCUCGAUAGGUAGCACAGCUUCCAUUCCAUAGACUAGAGAGAAAGGAGUUGCUCCCGUAGAUGUUCGCACAGAUGUACGAUAUGCAAACAAAGCAAAUGGAAGUUUCUCGUGCCAAUCUUUAUAUGUCUCAGUCAUUUUCCCAAUGAUCCUCUUAAUGUUCUUGUUAGCUGCUUCAACAGCCCCGUUCAGCACCUUGUUCUUACAUUGCUUGAUCUCCAUUCCAAGGAAAAAAGUCAUAAGACCAAGAUCUGUCAUUUCAAACACUUGCAUCAUUUCUUGUUUAAAUUUCUCAACCAGCCUUGUAUUAUUUCCUGUCACCAAAAGAUCAUCAACAUAUAGUGACACAAUGAGAGUAUCUACUUCUUUAUGUUUCACAUAAAGAGUGGAUUCUGAGAAGCUUUUAACAAAGCCAAGACUUAACAAAUGAGCAUCGAUCUUGCUGUACCAAGCUCUUGGAGCUUGUUUUAGGCCAUAGAGAGCCUUUUUGAGCAGGUAAACUUUUUCUUCUUCGCCUUGCUUCACAAAUCCCUCAGGUUGCUCCACGUAUAUUUCUUCUUGUAAUUCGCCAUUCAAAAACGCUGAUUUGACAUCUAAUUGGAACACUUUCCAGCCUUUUUGUGCCGAUAUUGCAAGCAACAAUCUGAUCGUAUCUAAUCUUGCAACAGGAGCAAACGUAUCAGAAUAAUCAACACCAUAAAUUUGAGCAUACCCUUUAACGACGAGCCUUGCUUUGUAUUUGUUAACGGAGCUGUCGGCAUUAAGCUUUGUUCGGAACACCCAUUUGACUCCAAUAACUUUUCUCCCUUCAGGCUUUUCUACCAGCUCCCAUGUCUCAUUUUUGUUCAUCAUUGUCAUCUCUUCCUCCAUUGCUUUCCUCUAUUUUGGAUCUUUUAAUGCGUCAUCAUGGCUGGCUGGUUCGCAAACUGCCACAUUGCAUCUUUGAUAGAUAUCUGAAAGUAGCCUUGUACCUCUAACUGGAGGAUCAUCUUCUAACUCAUUCAUCCAUUCGUCGGUUGUUUCGAAAGCACCUUUCGGUUCUUGAGACAUCUCCUUUUUCCGUGAAAUCAUCCAAUCCCACUGCUCGUCCUCGUUGAAAUGUACAUCUCGACUAAUUGUCAAUUUUCUGAUUUGAGGAUGAUAAACCUUGUAGGCUUUUGAAACUGAACUAUAUCCCAUGAAGAUGCCAGGAAUUGCCUUCUUAUCAAGUUUGUCACGUUUAACCUUUGGAACAUGAACAAAACAUAUGCAGCCAAAUACUUUAAGAAAGCUAAGUGAAGGUUUAUAACCGUACCAAGCUUCGAAUGGAGUCUUGUCUUCCAAAGCUUUGGUUGGAAGUCGGUUCUGUAAAAAAACUGCCGUGUUGGCUGCCUCUGCCCAAAAUGUCUUUGGCAACUCCUUUUCAUGCAACAUACAUCUAGCCAUCUCCAUUACGGACCUAUUCCUUCUCUCGCUGACCCCAUUUUGUUCCGGAGUGUAUGAAGCAGUAAGCUGAUCUUUAAUGCCAGUUUCUUCGCAAAAUAAAUUAAAUUCUACCGAAGUAUACUCCUUCCCGUUAUCGGAUCUCAACACCUGAAUUUUGCAGCCACUUUGAUUUUCUACCAUUUUCUUGAACUUCCAAAACACACCAGCCACUUCUGAUUUGAAUUUCAAGAAAAAAAUCCAGCACAUUCUUGUAAAAUCAUCAAUGAAAAUAAUACAAUAAAUGCUACCUUGUAAAUAUGGUGUUCUUUGUGGUCCAGCAACAUCAGUAUGAAUUAGUUACAACUUUUGAAAACCUCUCCAAGUUGAUUUCGGAAACGACAGCCUAUUUUGUUUACCGAAUUGACAGGUGGCACAAUUUAGAAGAUGAUCAUCAAGUUCUGGCAUUCCUUUUAUCAUGUCUUUCUUCUUCAUUUUCAGCAUUCUUUGAAGAUGACAGUGACCAAGCCUUUUGUGCCAAAUUUCCGUAGUGCAAACUUUGUUGAUAUAGGCUAUUUGCUCCUCCUCCGUUGGAUCAAAUGAGAAACUUUUACCCCUCAUUUUAACCCGUAAAAUCUCUUUUCCAACAACAUCAUAAAUGCAGCAAUAGGAAUUUUCAAAGGAUACUUUAAAUUCUUUUUCUAUAAGCUGGCCAACACUCAACAAAUUUUUAUCAAUUUCAGGAACAUAAAGUACAUCUGAGAUUGUUUUUGUACCUGAACUUGUUGUAAAUGCCACGGUUCCCGACCCUUUUGCGGAAAUAUAGCCACCAUUUCCAAUUCUGACCUUCAUGACUCUCGGCUUCAAAUCCUUGAAGAGAGUUUUGUCCGGAGUCAUAUGGUUAGUACAACCACUGUCAAUCAACCAGCUUUCUGAAGAACUUUUAGUUGAAAAACAUGCUGCAACAAAUAUCUGAUCUUCCUCGUCUUGAUCAGCCACAUGGACUUCUUCAAGCUUCAACUUAUUGCUUCUGCAAACCACGGCUUCAUGUCCAAGUUGAUUGCAUUUGGUACAUUUAGCAUCUGGUCUCCACCAACAUCUGAACGGUGGAUGGCCUUUCUUUUCGCAGUGCUGACAAGGCGGAUAGUCUUUCUUUGAUUUUCUACCCUUACCUCGAGUGUGAGUGUUCGAAGAAUUUGCUGCAGAUGUUACUUGUGUUUUUCUCUCAGUAUUCUUCUUGUGCUUUCCUCCUUCCUGGUGCCUAGCUAGCAAAGCUCCUUCUACUAUUUGUUCUUGCCUCAUGAGUCUUCGCUGUUCUUGAGCUUGCAAAGAAUUCAUCAAUUCUGCCAAACUGAGUUUAGACAUAUCUUUUGUAUUUUCCAAGGUGGUUAUUGAAGCUUCAUAUCUUUCAGGCACUGUUACAAGAAUUUUUUCAACAAUUCUAGAAUCUGGAAAUUUAGUGCCAAGUAACCUUACCUUGUUGGCAAUUUCAUACAAUCUGUCUUGGUACUCUUUGAUUGUUUCUGACUCUUUCAUCAUUUGCAAUUCAAACUCCCGUAUUAAAUUUAGCACCUGCAUUCCUCGUAUCCGGUCAUUUCCUUCAUAUUCUUCUUUGAGAUAGUCCCACACUUCUUUUGCUGAUCGGAGAGUGAGAACUUUUGUGAAAACGUUUGUUGAAAUAGCAGCAAACAGAGUUGAUUUUGCCUUAGCUUUUCGGGUCUUCUUUUCCUUGUGAGUUUUGAUUUGGACCAUGGUAGGAUUGUUCGGCAGCGGAGGUAUUUCGUAAUCCUCUUCCACGGCCUCCCAAAGAUCCAAAGCCUCAAGGUAAGUCUCCAUCUUUACUGCCCACAGAUGAUAAUUCUGACCAUCAAAAACAAGAGGAGCAAUUUGAGAAAAGCUGGUUUCGGUCUCCAUUUCACACACAGAUCCCUUAAGAAAAUAGCUCUGAUACCAAUUGUAAGAUUCAAAUGAAGAAAAUGUAAUAAAAAAUAAUAAAAAAUGCAGUUGCAGCAAUACAAGAAAGAGUUUAAAGCUUUAACAGAGAAGAAACUGCAGAGAAUAGUUUUUAUUUGUAUAUAUAUAUAUAUUAAGUUAUUCAGUAUUCAGCCUUUAAAUAGCUGAGUUACAACGUAGGUUGUUUCCAAAAAUAUCAAUUCUGAGAAUUAGAAUACUAACAAUUCCCUUCAAAAUAGGGAUAUGCUCUAACUGUGAAACAAAUUUAUUGAAUUUCAAAUAAACAAGAAAUCAAACUAACGUUCCUUAAGCAAAUAACUAACAAAAAUCAACAGAAAAGAACUCCAAUUGGGGAUAAUAUUGAUCUAUUGAGAGGCCCAUCAUAUAUCAACAGACAACACUUCGCAUGUUUCUCUUGACGAAGUCAACCUUCUUCAACAAGGCCUUAGAUUAAUAGGAUUAAGGCCUUGGGAACUUUAAGAGCCUAUGAUUAAGUCUUACUGUAUAUAAACCAUGUGUGGGUUAUUAAUCUAUAUUCAUUAUAGUUUUUGUUCCAUUGUAUGUAGACUUUGUAUAGAUUUAUUCUUGUGUAGGUUUGAAUAUAUUUGUGUUAUCGUUCUGAUAUUGCUUUAUAAUGAUUAAUUCCUAGUUAUAAUUAUUCAAAUAUCUUUUUUGUAAUUGCAAUUAUCGUUAUAUGUGUUAAACAAAAAUGAAAGAUUAAAAAAAUGAUAAAAUAUAUCACAAGUUCAUGUACUCUUCAUAAAUUUAGAAUUUAGUUCAUGUACUUUUAAUUCUAGGAAUUUAGUCGCUCUAUUUUUUAUAUUUUAAAAUUCAAGUUCAAUUUUUAACACUGUUAAUUUUGUUGGUAUAAUAUUCUGGAAAAACAAACACUCAUUUGGUAGAUAUAUAACUGAAAAAAUGACAUUUUAAUAAAUUUAAUUUUUUUAAAAAAUUAACAGUAUUAAUAAAUAGACCUGAAUUAAAAAGUUUUAAAAAUAAAUAGAUUAAAUUAUUAAAAAUAAAAAUAUUAAAAUUUAAAUUUAAAUUUAGGAAGAGUUAAAAAAUUAUAUUUGUAAAUGUAGUUGGACUGAAUAAAUGUGUUUUGAGAGAGUGGGAGACAGUUAGUAAAGUGAGAGGUUAGUGUGUGUGGUCAUCACGUGGUGACAUUUAAUUGGUUCUUUGUCUUGUCUACCUAGCCAGCCUGUCCUACUUCCUUUGUGGACCCCAUUUUUCUAUUUACAUCUUUAUUAUAUUAUACAGUUUUUUGUAUUCCUCUAUGAACCGUCACUGCCUUUAUUACAUUAAAUGAAAAAUACAUAAUGAUGUUAAUAUAAUUUUGUAUUUUUUUCUAUAAAAAUUUCGUAUCUUUAACAAAAAAAAAACCUUUUCCUUCAUUUUUAUUUACUUUUAUCCCUAUUUCUUAAAUAUGUAUUUUUUAUUUGUAUGUAUAUUUAUUAAAUAUUUUUAACUUAUACAUUUUUAUAUUUUUAUAAGUUAACUAAUUGAAUUGAGAUGAAAAUUCUAACCGAUUUGGCCUUCAAUAAAUGUUUUUGGAAUUAGAUGAAUGAGGAAAUUAAUAAAUCACUGUUUUUUAAUUUGAUUGGUCCUAUUAGUCUAGGUGGUUCAAAUUAAAUAAUUUAUUAAAAGUUUAAAAAAUUAAAAAAUAUAAAAAUCAACUCGUACCGAUUCACAAGUCAAUUAAUUUUUUACUACAGUAAAAUAAUACUCUAAUCAAUUUCAGAUCCAAUCAAUUUAACCAACCUUUAAUGUAAACUUGAGGGGAAGAUUUUAUUAUAGUUUUACUUAAAAUAGGACAAUAGAUUUUAUUAUAUUUACAGCAAGUAAAUAUAUCGCCCAUCUAAAUUUACUCUCAAACUCUUAAAUGGGGUAAAAUUCUUUUAAUCUUGUAUAUGUGAUGAUUUUUAUACUAAUAAAUUAAAAGUGGAAAUAGAAUAAUUGGGUAAUAUUAUCUAAUUUGUUCUUUUAUGAGAAAGGUUACAGGAAUCUAGAAGAAAAAUAGGAAAUUGGAUUAAAGAAAAACAUGGACCACAUUGAUGUUACAAAAGGUAUGCAUUCAUACGUAAUUGGUACAAUACUUAUCCUGUAAUAAAUUUGUCUAUGGGAAUAAAAGUGAUGGGUAGGAGAGGUAGGGUUAGGCCUUGAUGAAUUUCUUACCAUAUCAUUUUUUUAAUGCAUAUCAUAACUAAUAAUUCAAUAUAUUCAGACUUAACGUAGAAUAAAUCUAGAGAAAACUCACACGUGGUGAGAAUUGAACAUUUGAUCUUAAAGUUGGAUCUAUUCUUUACUAUUAAGUUAAAAUUUCACUUACUAAUUUAAUAAUCUAUUUUUAGACUUUUACAAGUACAAAUAUAAUUCAAGUACAAAAUAGAAUCAGACCAUUGUGAACAAACAAUCAAAACAAAACCCACACAUGGGUUUUUUUACCCAAAUAAUAUAAAAAAAUUAAAAUAAUACCAAAAUAGUACCACAAUUUUAUUAUGUACCAAAAUGGUACAAACAAUAAAAAAAAAGCUAGCUGAUGAAGUGACAGGACCUGGUCGAGGGUCUGCCACAAGCGGUACCAAAGGUGCCAAUGACAGAUGCGGCACCAAAUGUGCCACUGCCACAGGCGUCACCCCUUUGAGACCAUUAUAAUGGUCCCCAAAGUGGCAAAAUGAAGCUGCGAAAAAGAAGAGAAGAAGAAGAAGGGGAAGGAGGCGCAGAAGGAAGAAAAAGGAAAAAGAAAAAGAGAAGAAGAAGAAGAAGAGGGAGGGAAGGAAAAAAAUAAAGGAAGGUAAUUUUUUUUAAUAGAGUAAGUAAUGGUAUAAAGGAAAUUUGUUUAUUUUUGUUGUUAUUAUUAUAAUGUGAUUGGUUUUGAUUUAAUUGAGAUUUAAUUUUAAAUUUAUUUUUUUUUGCAAGGUAUUAUUUGAUUAAAAAGAGAUACUAAGGUAUGUUUAUAUUUAUCUAUAUUUUCAUUCAUUCACAAUUUAAUUUUAACUUUUAUGUUAUGUACAUUCUAUGUUUUAUUAUUUAUGUUAUGUACAUACUAUGUCUUAUUAUUUUAUUAUUUAUGUUAUUAUUUAUGUUAUGUACAUUCUAUGUUUUAUUAUUUUAUUUUAUUUAUUUGUUAAGUGUGUUUUAUGUUGAUUAGAUAUAUUUUUUAUGAAAUUUAUUUAGCAUGUUGUAAUGAGAUUCUUUUACAAAAAUAGUAUUAAAAAUAAAAUACCGAAAAAAUAUGUUUAUGAAAAAAUAAAAUACGAAAAGAAAUAAAAAAUGAAAAUAGUAUAUUUUUUUAAAGUAAUAAAAUCCGAAAAAAAGAAAAAUACGAACAAAGGGCCAAAAUAAGGGGUUUUUUUUACUAAAUUUAUAAAAACAACACAAAAAUAAUACAUUUCACAUUAUGUCCUAAAAUAAUACAAAAUAAUAAAAUGACAAAAAUAGUAUAUUUUUGAAAGUAAUAAAAGUCCGAAAAUAAGAAAAAUACGAAUAAAGGUCAAAAUAAGGGUUUUUUACUAAAGUUAUAUAAAAAAACACACUAAAUUAAUACAUUUCAAACAUUAUGUACUAAAAUAAUAUAAAAUAAUUAAAAAAUAUUAAUAUUUUUGAAAAUAAUAAAAUCCGAAAUAAGAAAAUACGAAUAACGGGCCAAAAUAAGGUUUUUUUUACUAAAUUUAUAUAAGAAAAACACACUAAAUUAAUACAUUUCAAUCUUUAUGUACUAAAAUAAUAUAAAAUAAUAAAAUACAAAAAUAGUAUAUUUUUUGAAAGUAAUAAAAUCUGAAAAUAGAAAAAUACGAACAAAGGGCCAAAAUAAGGUUUUUUUUACUAAAUUUAUAUAAAAAACACACUAAAUUAAUACAUUUCAAACUUUAUGUACCAAAUAAUAUAAAAUAAUAAAAUACGAAAAUAAUAUAUUUUUUGAAAGUGAUAAAAUCUGAAAAUAAGAAAAAUACGAACAAAGGGCCAAAAUAAGGGUUUUUUUACUUAAUUUAUAUAAAAAAACACACUAAAUUAAUGCAUUUCAAACAUUAUGUACUAAAAUAAUAUAAAAUACGAAAAUAGUAUAUUUUUUGAAAGUAAUAAAAUCUAAAAAUAAGAAAAAUAUGAACAAAGGGCCAAAAUAAGGGUUUUUUUACUAAAUUUAUAUAAAAAAAACACACUAAAUUGAUACAUUUCAAACUUUAUGUACUAAAAUAAUAUAAAAUAAUAAAAUACGAAAAUAGUAUAUUUUUUGAAAGUAAUAAAAUUCGAAAAUAAGAAAAAUACGGACAAAGGGACAAAAUAAGGGUUAUUUACUAAAUUUAUAUAAGAAAACACACUAAAUUAAUACAUUUCAAACAUUAUGUAUUAAAAUAAUAUAAAAUAAUAAAAUAUGAAAAUAAUAUAUUUUUUGAAAGUAAUAAAAUCAGAAAAUAAGAAAAAUACAUUGAAAUUAAAAACAAAAAUUUGUUUUGAAGUUGCAGGCAUCGCAAUGGCUCGAUUGAUUAACGAAGAUCCUCACAUAUCUGAUGCGGCUAAUAAUAUGGUAAUAUAUUAUUAUUUGUUAAUCACGAGUUCUAUUAAAAAAAGGAUAUACGUAAUAUAUAGAAAUAAAUCAUGUUAUCCUAAUAUUUAUUUUCUGUAAUUUAACACUAUCAGGGCUCGUACCGCUUGUUAAAGGGCCGGGUGAAUGGAUAGGAUAUCCCCUGGAUGAACGAUUGAUGCCCUACUUGGAGCAAGCUGGAUUCGAGUCAGCAGCAUUGAUUCGAACGUUCGACUUGCGAUACGAUUUAAUAUCUACACUAGUGGAGAGGUGGCGCCCGGAGACCCACACUUUUCAUUUUCUGUGUGGGGAGUGCACAGUGACUUUAGAUGAUGUUGCACUGUAGCUUGGGAUCCCAAUCGACGGGAGUCCCAUAACGAGAGUAAGUGCAUUUGCUGAGCCGACUGCACUAUGUUAUAGCCUACUAGGAGACUCGUCCGACGAUGAUGAGUCAAAUUUUUCGGGCUUGAAAUUUACAUGGCUGAAAGUCAAAUUUGGACACUUAUCAGCUAAUGCCAUUGAAGGAGAGUUGAUGUGCGCUGCUCGAGCGUACAUCAUGCAUAUUAUAGGGGGAGUACUGAUGCCCGAUUCAAACAACAACAAGGUUCAUAUCAUGUUCUUACCUCUAUUAGCUUAUUUGAGUAAUGUUCGCUCGUAUAGCUGGGGCUCCGCAUUCUGGCAGUGUUGUAUCGGGAGCUUUGUCGGACGACAAAGCCUGCUAUCGUAGACAUGGGCGGAUGCCUUACAUUGUUGCAAUCCUUGGCACUUUAUCGGAUGCCAUUCUUGGCAUCAGUUCUGGUAGUUCUAGCAGUGUUGUCUCCGGAGCUUUGUCGGACGACAAAGCUUGCUGUCGUCGACAUGGGCGGAUGCCUUACAUUGUUGCAAUCCUGGGCACUUUAUCUGAUGCCAUUCUUGGCAUCAGUUAGUCACCAACCAUAUGUAUAUCCACUAGUUAACAUGUGAUAAAAUAUAACUUGUCAUUAAUUGUAACGAUACUAUACUGGCUUAAAAUUUGUUUUCGUAGAUGGAGUAUUUAUUCGGGUAUCGGGAUGUCAUACACUGUCCCGAUAUACCGUCUGAUGAUUGAACAGCAUCUCGGGGAAAGGGUAAGCUAUUCUAAUAUUCGUGACAUGUUACUUUCUACAUCUUACUCACACCGUGUUAAAUUAUAGCCAUGUUAUUAAUCAUGCAGUUUAUAUGGAUGCCAUAUCGUAGACCGGAAAUUGCUGCUAUUACACCAUCGUCUGCCUACGUUCAUUCUCAUAUGGGGUGCACUAACGCACAAAUUAUAAAUUUCAAUGUAGUCGAGUGGUACCAUAGGGAUCGAGUGCUACGACAGUUUGGUUGCAUCCAAUAUAUCCCAGAUUCGCCAUGUGAGGUGGGGGUGGUUCACGGCAUCAACAAGAGAGGGAAACCGCAAUUAAAUUGGGGGGUUAAGCACUAGAGAUUUGUUGUGCUAUGGAACAACCAGAUGGCUCGAAUACCUUAGAUGGUUAUGGCUUUCGAUUUGAAACCAUCAGUAGAGUACAUACAAUGGUACUCUAGUUUGGCAAAGCCAUAUCUACUUGGAGGGCAGUCGACUAUAAUCCCCCCGCACAUGCAGUGAACUGGGGCAUAUGAGCCAGUGGCUGAUAUGGAGGUUUUUUAUUGAUAAUAUAUUGUGUACCAAACCCCCCCCCCCCACAUAAGUGGAACAUGAGCUAAAACCAAAAUUUUAUUGAUAAUUUAAUAAAUCAAUUGUAGAUGUUAAGAUUAGAAUCUCACAACAUAAACCAACAUAACUAAAUCCCUUUUGAAAUUAAUAAAUUUGAAGGUAUUUGCUUUUUUAUAAUAUGGUAGCUUAAAGUGUCCAAGGAUACUAUUUAGCGAAGUUGUUUUAUUAUUAUUAAAAUAGGAAAGUGUAAUCAAGAAGAAGUCAAGAAUGUGAGGAGAAACUAGUUAAUUAUUUUAUAUAUGGUUUGGUGGUAUGCAUGUACAAUUAAGUUAUUGAACUUAUAAAUUACUGUCCCCCAACUUGGUCCAACAUUUCCACUAGAAAGGAAUAUUUAUUUAUUUGAAUCAUUAAUAUUUGAAACUAAUAGUCUACCUCACAUGUCUUCUCUUGAUUGAGAAUUUGCCAGAGAAGAGGAAAAGAAAGAGAUUCUCUUUCAGCUAAGAUUAUACAAUCUUGCUUUUUGUUAUUGUAUUGUAUCCCCCAUCCGAUUGAUUUGAGUUGUGAUAAAUAUUAAUUUUAAAUCUUGACAUCACUUUUUUAUUUGAAUAGAAUUAGUCUUAGAUUAUGUUAAAAAAGUAAUAUUAUUAAUUUUAGAGGCAAAAUUUCAUAUAGGUUUUAUGUAUGUUGACACCAAGUCUAGAAUAUAAACUAUGUAUGUGGAAACCUUGCACCUUUUCUCUCAAGAGUUAUAUAAUUAUAAUGUUUGUUUCGUUAAAAAAAUUAGGUUAAAAUAAGUUAUAAGUCUAUGUACUUUUUAAAAAAAAAUAGAAUUUAAUUAUUUUAUUUUUAGAUAUCAAAAUUUAAGUCUAGCUAUUAAUAUUGUUAAAUUUUUUGAUGUGAUAUUUUGGAUUUUAAAAAGAAAACUUACUUAGUAGCCAUAUAAUUAAAAAAAAUGACAUUAUAAUGAAUUUAAAUUUAACAAAACAAAUAACAAUGUUAACAAUUUGACCUGAAUUUUAAAAUCUAAAAAAUAGAUGACUAAAUUUUUAGAAAUAAAAGUAUAAAGACUAAAAUCCAAAAUUUUGAAAAGUACAGAGAAUUAUUACAUAUCUUAACCAGAAUACUAAUAUCUUUUUCAUAUCCAGCUCAAAUAAGAAUUUAAGGUUGGGGAAAAGAUUUUGAUUCUUAUUAAAUUAAUGUUUUCAAUGCUUUGAUUGAUCACACAUUGAAGGGAUAUUCUGUGGUGAAGAAUCCUUGCAAAAUUCCUUUUAGGUUAUUAAGGAAUUGAAAGAGCACAUCAAUGGCUUUUGGAGGAAAAGUUUGGUCCUUUUAUUAUGCUUUUUUUGGGUCCCCUAGAGUAAGUUCAAAGAAGGCAUAAAACAACGGUUGAGGGUACUUCUCCUCCAAAAGGUCUAAAGCUACACUUCAUUUAUAGAAUACCAUUAAGGGUUUUCUAGUUUCUCUUUUACCCUUUGAUUGAAGACCUCAAUUAGUGGGAAGAAUGUUCAUUAUUUUUGACAUUUUGAAUCAAAGUUGUAGUAGGUCUUUAGCCUUUUUUUAUUAUUAUUAUUUGGGAUUCACAAUCAUAAAAUCCGUUAAUUUUCUUUUUAUGUCCGGCUAAAAUUUAGUGAAAGACAAGACAUCUAAGGGUAAAUAUAUAUAUAUAUAUAAAUAAUGAUUAACCCAACCCUUGACUUGUUAAGAGUUGGAUCAAAGCUUUAGAUUGGAAUUUUUUUCUGGUUAAAUAUAAUUUUUCAUCUUUUGCUAUACUCAAAUUUCGGAUUAGUCCUUUGAGGAGGUAAGAAUUAUCUGGGGUUUGAACCCAAAGCUAUAUGUAAACUUAUGUUUUGAUAAUAAUCGAAGCUUUUUAUUAUUACACCAAUGGUUAGUUAAUUUGGUAUCUUUUAAUCUCUAUUUUUAUAAUGUUAUUAGCUUAAAUAGUUACACAGUUAAUUAUUCCAAUUAAAAUACUUAACUGGAUUUUCCUUAAAAACAGAAGAAAAUUGUGUUAAAGGGUAUUUUUAAGAAAAAUUAACGUAUUUUAAUCAGAAAAAUAAAAUGAAAACAAUCAAUUUUUUCAUCAUUCCUACUAAACACAUUCAUAAUAUGUAUUCUCUAUCUUUCUAUCCCUUCAAUAUUCUUUCUUGCUUUGCUAGUGCUACACGAUCACAUGGACCAAUGCUACCUAUCUAAAGAUAGAGUUAGAAAAGGUGUGUGUGAGAAUUUUGGGUCUUAUCCAGUUUAAAGACUAAGAUGGGCUUUGUGCUUUGUUGUUUAUACUGAAAUUGUUAAUAUAUCAGAAUCGUCUGUCCAAUCUGGAGCUGGUUUUUUUGUUUAUAGCAAUUGUGGAUCAUCUACAUUUUCAUGUAUCCCAAUGUAGUAUUUAAAAAUCCUAAACAACCUUUGUAUUUCCAUUAUAUUAUUUGAAAAUUUAGUUUUAAAUACUGAAAAUAAAAUUUUCUCGAAAAGAUUAAUUUUUAUAAAUUAUAAAACAGAUAUAAAAAAAUACCUUAAAUAUAUAUAUAAAAAAUUUUAAUUAAUAAUAUAUACUAUCAAAACUUUAGAUACAUUGACCAGGAUAUCCCUACUCCCAACAUUAUUUAAUACUUUAAUUUCCAAUUCCAAUUUUGAUCUUGAAAUGAUUUUUCGGGUUCAUUUAGAUUUAUUUUGAAUCUUUUAAUAAUUUUUUUUAUGUUAUAUUCAUUUUCUUUUACAAAAUUAAGCUAAAUAUAUUUUAUAAAAUCUUAUAAAAUUACAAAAUUGCAACCGGAAUAUAUAAAAACAUAGUUAUAGAAUUAAAAUAUAUUUUAUGAUAUUCUUUUAUAAAAUUAAUAAAUAAAAAAUAGUUACAAACGCUAAUAAAGAGGCAGGACACAUCUUGUUGUUGAGACCGAUUCUUUGAACACCGUAAAAUGAAUUUUAAAUUCGGUUAAGAGAUUAAACGCUGGCACGUUUCAUAAUGAGAUAAGAGAUGUCAGUUUCAUCUAUACAUGUUACAUUUAUUUACAAUAGCGAGGUAUUGUUUAAAAAAAUUGGGAGAGAUGCUAACGGUGUGGCAAAUUCAUUGGCAAAGUCGGGGUGUUUUGGAUCUCAAAUUAUUGGAUGUUGUUGAAGGGAUGGUGGAGCAUCGUUGAGUUCGAUUGAGAUAAUGGCUUCAUUGUUGUUUCAACAAAGAUGAUUCACCGAAUCAUUUGGAGCGGUUCUAAAACUGUCAAGCAGCAUUAUUCUGUACCUAUUUGAAUGUCGUUAUUUUUACUUAAUUUAGGUGGUUGUAUGCUUUUGUCCAAGUGUGUUUCUAAUCAUAAUUUGGAAAUAAUGUAGAACUACUUUUGGGUUGAUUGAAUUAUUAAUAAUAAUUUCUUCGACUUAGAAAAAAAUAAUUAAUAUUAAAUGGGUUAAGUAAAUUUUAUUAAAGUCCAUCCCCUUCCGAUCAGAAACUUUUAAUAAAAAAUUGAUCUAACCUAAUUAAAUUAACUUUUUUUUAAAUAAAAUAAAAAUGAAAGCUCUCCUCUAUAUGAUCGGAUAAGUUGAAACUCGAUAAUUUUAGAUUAUUAUUAUUAUUUUGCCAUCUACUUGUGAAUGUUGUGAACAUAGAACACAAACUUAUGAAGUGAUACAUGUGUAGGAUUAUGGCGUAAUUUGGAAGGAUGCAAUAAAAUUCCCAAGUUUGGUGGCAAUUACACUCUAAUGGACAAUUAAUAACAAAAAAACAUUUUGAAGAUUCAAAUCCAUCAAUGGGUUAGCCCAUAUGACAAUUAGAAAGAGGGAUAACUCAGUGUAGGUUAGGGUGUACAAAAUCCCACUCAAAUAGGAAAACGUUAUUAAAUCUUUCAAAUUAUUUGAGGUAUUGAUUUUAUUGUAAAUAUCUUAAUUUAGAUUUGACUUAUAUAACUCGAGUUUUUUGAACAAUACUAACUUUAAGUUGUUAAAAAAGGACACCAAUGAAUUAAAUAUUUUUGAAUGUCUUAAUUAGUCAUUCUUAUUCCAGAGAAGAGCUAACCCACCACUACGUCCCAAUUCGUCGACACAGAAGUACAAGUCAAACUUUAAGCUGACAUGAAUUUCCUCCAAUUUAUUGGACGACACUAAAGUUUCAGACAAAAAUAACACAUUUGGCUUAUCUGACUGUACAAGGUCCCGCAAGGAUAAAAUUGCUCAAAGAUUGCUCCAUCCUCAACAGUUCCAAGCAAGGCAAAUCAUUGUUCCUGGCAGGCCAUGGGCUAGGGAUUGAUCGAUACCGAAAUAGUGGAAGAAAUUGAACUAGCCGACGUAUUAACCUUUUCACCGCAAGCCACAUAGUUGUGCAAUGGAUCAAGCAUCGAUUCUCUAGGGCAUUUCUUUACCGCAUCUGCAUCGAUUAAAACCUUUUCCAAGCAUAUGAACCUCCUGAUGUAAUUUUUUGAAAGUUACAUGACGAUUCCUAUAACAUAACUUGACCUUACCUAAUUUAAUUAUGAUUUCAUCUUUCUUAAUAUAAAAACUCACUAAAAACGAGACAUCCAAUUAUAAAAAUGUUAAAAAGAAAAAAUAUUCCUAAUAGAAUUAUUCCAAAAUUAAAUGUAAUUGAUUUCAAAAACAUUAUUUAUUGAUAUUUAUUAUAAUUAAUUGGGAUCUUAAAAAAUACUGAUUGUUUAUCAAUGAUGUCCACCACUUUUCACACUAUAUACUCCUCCAUUUAGGGCUGUUUCUUAGUUUGAAUGAAAACUUUACUUUAGGUAAUAUAUACGAUUAUAAAUGUGAUAUUAGAUUAUAAAAUUUUCAACCUAUCCAAAUAUUAUUAAAAAUUUUGAUAAAAUAAAAUUCAUCAAUUUGAUUAAAUCAAAAAAUACAUUUGAUUCAAUUUAACUCGAUGCAAUAAUAUAGAGGGAGGAUAUAAUUUUUUAUCUUUGAAUUUGGUAACUAAGUUCACUUUGAUGUUUGUAUUUUUUUAGUCUAUUUUAACACUUAAAUUUGACAACUAAGUUCAUUUUAGUCCAUGAACUUGAAAAAUAUAAAAGUUUGAUGAUGUGACACUUUAAGAUUGUGCCACUUCACCACUUGAGAAUUAAAAAAAUUAUAUAAAUUUUUAGGUGAUGGUGUGGUACAAUAUCAUAAUGUCACAUUCAAUAUUUUAAUAAUCUGAUUGGUGGUCAAAUUAGUCAAACCACUAGUUCUCAAUUCAACCAGUUCGACCACCAAACCAACAAUAAUUAAAUAAAUAAUUAAAAAUUCAUAUAAAUCUAAAAAUAUAAAAAUUUUAUUAAACCGAUUUAACCUGUACAACUGUCAAUUCUUGUCUUGAUAUUCAAUUUUUACCAAUUUCAAGCAAUUUAUAAGUCAAUUGAUACAAAUCCUUUGUUCAAACCGUUAUAUCAAUCAGUUCUUAGUCUAUCCGAUCUAGUCUUAUUCAUUAACAUUGGUCACAUUAAGACAGAAUUCAAAUUCAAGAACCAAAAUAGAUCUAAUUGUCAAGUUUAAUAACUAAAGUAGAUAAAAAAAUACAUGUAUCAAAGUAGACCUAAUUGAUAACUUGAAAGGUCAAAAUUUUAUAUUGUGCCUAAUAUUAAUGUUCUAUAAAAUCAUUAUACUAAAUAAAUAAUCUAAAUUUAAGAUCAAAUAAGAGACCUAAAGGCUCAUAUCCAAAGAAGAAAAAAAAGAUUAUAACUCCACGAUAACUUUAAUACUAUCAUUUAAGAUGCUUAGUACAGGUCUAAAGGUGGGGGUUUUCUUUUAUUAAUUUUCAGUUCAAGAAAAAAUAUGUAAUAAAUGAAGCAAAUUCUAUAUAAUGUUUGAAUUAACUUUGAGUUUCCAAUGUGGAAAAGAGUAUAGGUUAGGUUAGGGGGGUCCUCAUGCAUAGUAAACACCGGCCUAUUUAACCCAGGUUAGGCCAAGAAACCAACUUUCAAGCUUCCUAUUUGGAGAAUAUAUAUUUUUAUAUUGGUUGAAGGUUCCUACGGUUUUUAUCUAUGUUAAACCCAUGCUUGGAGAAUAUAAUUAAUAAAAUUAUUGAUUGAUUCAGUGCGAUGUGUUAAUUAGAUAUCAACCCGGUUAUAAAAUUAUCAAAAUAUUUUUUUAUAAUCAAAAUAAGUCAUAUUAUUCGAAAGUAUUUUAGUCUUUUUAUUUUAACAAAAACCAAGAAAAAUAUGCAUGUGGUAAGAUUUGAACCUGCAUCCAUUCGAUUAAAAAAAUUUAAAUUUACCACUCAAUAAAAAAUUUUAUUUUGAUUUUUUAUACAUUUUUUAAAUAUGCAAGAUUUAUUAUCUCCACCAGCUGUAUAUAUUAAUAAUGUUGUUAAUUGAGUUAGUGUCAUAAGUCAACUCGACACUAACUCACAACGGAUGACAAAACCAUGAUAGUGCAUGUAGUAUUAUUUAUAUGAUGUAUUUAUGUUUUUAAAUUUUGUUUUACUAAUAAUUUAAUCUAAUUUUUUAUUUUAAUAUCGUACAUAUUUCAAAUCAUAUGUGUCGAAACCGCUUUUUUGAAAACAAAAAUUUGGUUGUCGACUUUAAAAAAAAAUAAAAUGAAGUCGCCACCGAUCCUUUAUUAAGGUGUGAUCGGCUCACCUUAAAAUGAUUUUGGUCUACGAAAUUUGAGAAAAUGAGUCCGGGAGUCAAUUAUGCACGAGGAAGGAUUAGCACCCUCGUAACUCCUUAUGUAAAAGGGUAGAACAACACCAAUAGUAUUAUUAACUAGGGUUGUUGCCUCCCUAUACUCCUAGGCAAGGAGUUCAUUUUUCUCGUUGAGAUAAACUUCUACAAUUCAACAAGAGUUCUAUCUUCUCUCUUUAUAAAUAGGUGACACCGGUAGUGCUAUGAACACAAAUUUAGAAAAUGAUUUAAUUACCAUUUUGAGGCUUUGGCUAAUUGCAAUUUAAGUCUCUAAGUCUUUGGACAAUUAAAAACCUAUAGGGAUUAGACUUUUAUAAUUUAGCCCCUACACCUAAAUUAACUAUUAAUUUGGCAAAAUUAGCAUACCAAACUUAAAAAUAUUUUUAUACCAACUCCGUAAAUAUUCAUAUUUGAUAUUUACGGACUCGGUUUAUGAAAAUGGGAUUCUAAAAUUACAUUUUUAGAUACUAUUGAAAAUCGAGUUGUUAUAGUAAUAAUUUUAUAUUGUUGGAUGAAUUGUUUGCAUAUUGCGCAUACAUUGGUAUGUUGGAUUUGAUUCAAUGCUUGAUGAGUUUUAUGAGGAAUCAAUAUUGAGGGAGUUUUGAUUAUGCUUUGCUUUGAUAACUUUGAUGUUUGAUGUUUUUAAGGAUGCAUCUAGGAAGGGGGAGUUUGUUUGUUGGACUAAUUAGCCAAAUACUAGUUCAUUUGUAUGGGUGUGUGAAACUUAUUUUGUGCAAGUUUUGUAAAAGAAAAAAGAAUCAAAGGAGAGAUGGUUAGAAUAUUGGGUGUGUAGCUUCACUAAGAAGUUGGCAAUUUUUAUUUCUAAAGUAAAAGAAAUUAUAUAGUUUUAAGUCCUUAUAUUGUGAGAUUAUUCACAUCCUUUAUUUGAGAUAAUCCUGAAAUUUUACUUGCUUAUUAUAAAAGGAUGUUGAAACAUAGAUCGGAGUGUAGCACAAGUCUGUUAGUUUUAAGGAACAUCAGAGUGCGUAAUUGUUCUUUGUUUUUUUAGUUUAUGAAUUUAGCAUUGCAUAUAAUUUGUAUGAUUUUGAAUUUAUAUUCAAUAUCAUAUAUAUUUUAAAUGUAUAUAAAUAUGGAUUUGUCCAAUUCAAAAAUAUUUUAAGAAUUUCAAAUCCAUUAUUAAAUAAGUAUCUAAUAUAUCCAUGAAUUUGUGAAAUUAUCAUUAGGAGCGAAGUUAGAACUUUUUUUUAGGAGGGUCGAAAUUAAAAAUGUAAUUUUUAAAGAAUUAAAUCAAAAUUUUAUCAUUUUUAGUGGGGCUAAAGUGUAAAUUUACCCUUACUGAUUUAAAAUUUUAAAAGGCCAAAAUAAAAAAUUUCCCAUUUUCGGAGAGCGAGGGCCUCUACCAGCCCUCUUAGAUUUGUCCCUAAUUAUCAUAAUGUUAUAUUUUUAAAUAGUUUACUAUCCAAUUUAUAAUAUUUUUAAAAUCCAAAUUUUAAAAUCUCACUUUCCAAAGUUAUCUUGGUAUACUAAAAUUUAUAUAAUGAAUUCAUUCCUUUAAUUAAGACCUUUCGAACUUCAUAAAUAUUUUUUUUUCAUUUAUUUUCACAGUUGCUACAUACUUUAUAAUAUUAAUGUAAAAUAAUAUUUAAAUAAUAUGUUUUUCACAUUAGUUAGAAGACAUAUAGUUUUGUUGAUUGAGUCUUAACUCAAUUUAUAUUACUAUCAUUACAAUAUACAAUAGAAUGUAAGUUUAAGGGCGCUUAUGCACGUUUUAUUCUCUGAUUUAGUUUGAAGGUUAUGAAUAGUUUUUGGGAUUGUAUUAAAAUAUAGAGAGUUUUUUUUUAUUAUUGUUAAACCUUAAUAAAAAAGUUAAAAUAUGUUGUUAGUUCCUAUACUUAGAUAAAAUUUAAAAUUUAGUCAUUAUAUUUAAAAGUUAAAUAAUUAAGUCCUCUUACUUUUUACUUAAAAAUCUUAAUCUAAUUAUUAACAUUGUUAGUAUUUUCUGUCAAAAUUUACUAACUCGACAUGUUUAGUAGACUGUCCUUAUAUGAAUAAAGGUGUUAAAACAAUCGGUUCGAUUCAUACUCGAACUGGACUAACAAGUUUUUCUUUAUUUUUAAUUCAAAGAAGUGUAAAAUAAAUUAAAUAACAAUAACAACAUUAAACUAAAAACAUACUAACAAACAUUACAUUAAGAACAUUAAUUUUUACUUUUCUUUGUUUAUUUACUUUUUGCUGAUUUUUUAGUUUAAUUUUUUUAAUUUCCAUAAUACUUUUUUAAGCUCCAUUAUUUAAAAAUUGAUUAAUUUUUAUAUACUGAAAUUAUCUAUAAUAUAUUCGACCUAUAAUAUAUUAUUAAUAAUUUGAUUUAAUUGAUUAAUUAUAUAGUGUCAAACUAAAUUAAUCGAUAACAAAAAUUUCCAAAAACCUUUAAUCAUCCCCCAAUUGAAUUAGAUUCGGUGAUCAACCGAUUAAUUGAAGUAAUUUAAUUUUAUUGGUUAAUUCAGUUAAAAUCAAAAAAUACACACUCCUAAAUAUGAUGUUGUAUAUGAUUGAUAAAAAAUAAACAUAUUAAUUUUGAUAGAAAUCAUAAACAACGGUAAUGAUUGAACUAAAAAAGUAGGCGAAAUAAAUUUUUAACUUUUAAAAUAUAAUGACUAAAUAUCAAAUGUGAAUAAAUACGAAGAUUAAUAACAUAUUUUAACCAAAUAAAUAAAAAGGACAUUCACAAAUCUGCAAUCGUCACACCAGAAGAUACCGUGGAUAAUCGAGAAGGAGAUAACAAGGAGGUGUUGUCUCACAAUUGAUUCGGACACGUAAGUGGAUAAAAAGAGCCGUCGGUCACCGACCUUUCACCAUCUAAACACUGGGAAGAUUACACGUGUCUUAGCAUUUACAUCAUUCCAUUUUUUAAUUUCUGAGUAUAAAAUUAAAGUUAAGAUAGCAUGGGAUCGUUAUGAUCUCGGUGGUCAAUCUAUCACAACCACGUCAAAGCCACUUGUCACAUCGUACAACGUCUCCAACCCUCUAUCUAUUGGCUCUAUGUCUACAUACAGAACUAGGGUUAGUCAUUAGUGUGGGAUGGUUUAGUUUAGUCAUUAGGGUUAGACAUCAUGGCCAUGCUAGGUUUGGGUUAGGACAAUAUAAAAUUUUAGGUUCGGAAUCGGCUCCAUCUGAAAAGUAAAUUUAAAAUUUUAUUUAAGUUCAAUCCAAAUUAAAAAUGUUAAGCUUGGGCUCGAUCUAGUUCGCCUAAAUUAAUUUUUAAAAUUAUUUUUUAUAUAAAAAUAAAAUUUAAAAAAUAAUACCUUAAAUACAGUAAAAUAAAUAUUCCCAAUAAAUUUAAAAAAUACAUUAAAAAAGUUUUUAUAUUUAAAAAUAACACUAACAUAGUUACAAUUUAUCAAGUAAAUGCUUCUAAAAUAGUAUGAAAAUUAACAAUAAAACGAGUUAUUAAAAAUAACACUAACAUAACUACAACUUAUCAAGCAAAUGCCUCUAAAAUAGUAAGAAAUUUAACAAUAAAAUGAGUUAUAUAAUAUCUAAAAAAAACAACAAAACAGUAAUAAUAUAAUAGCGAAAAAGCAACGAAACAAUAACAAAACAGUUGAUUCGAGUCAAGCCGAGCCUAGCCUAGCCCAAAAAAAUCUUACUUGUUUCAAUGUUUAAAAAACGAGCCUUAUUUUUUAUCCUAACCUAUUUUUCAUGCUUAUAUUUUCAUCCAAACCCUCCAAUUCAUAACCAGGUCUAAUUUAAUUAUUAAUCAUUGAGACGAAGACCCUCAAACAAUCGCACCCAAACAAUCAUGUACAACCCUCACUAAUUGUUAUAUUUGGUUCUAGUCAUAGUGUUUGGUUUAGAAUGAAUUGGAUCAUAUCAUAGUAUCACUCUACCUUAACAUAUAGUAUUAGGCCACUUGCAUUUAAGGUGAAAUUAGAAAUGUGUUUAACAAGGAUUGAAAUUUAAUUAUAAUUUGAGUAAAUUAUACCAUCAGUCACUUAAUUUUAGAGUAGUUGACAAAACAAUAAUCACUUAAGUUCUAUUUCAAUUACUCAACUUUUAAAAAGUUACAAAACAGUUUUUUUUACUGUUUUCCGUCAUAAACGUCACGGCAAAGUGACAUGAUAGAUGACGGCAUCUUUGGUGUCAAAAAACCGUCCAGCUAGCCAGUUACUCUCAAUUUAACAGUCCUGCCAGCACCAUUUUAGGGUUAGAGAAGAAGAAGAAUAAGAAGAAGGAGGCUUUUAAUCUCUUACCAAAAAGGAAAGAAAGAAACCCUUUUAAUCUCUUAUCAAAAAAGAACACAGUAAUGGCUAUUUCUUUGAAAUCUACAGCAGCGGGAUUGUUCCAGUUAAAGAACCACAAUACCCAUUCUCCAUCUCGCUUUCCUUCAUUCAAACCCUUAGUUUCAACUAAGAGAUUCACUCCAAUGGCUGCUCUUGCUACUUCUCAAACUCUUGGCAUUUCUGAAACCUUCUCUAAAUUGAGAAAUCAAGGUAAAGCAAGCAUUUUCCCCUUUUUAAUUGAUGGGUAUCUAUUUCUCUCUUUUUUCUUUUUCUUUUUUUUUUUGCCGUUAAAUUUGAUCUAUAGUCUUAUUAUGAUACAAAUAUUAUUUUAUGUUCUAUUGGUUUGUUUUUGUUUGUGAUAUUUCUGGGUUUUGAGUUUAAUUUGAGUUGCAACAAGUCAAAGUAAGCAUUUCUUUGGUCCUAUAAGUUGAGUGGCAGAAAUUAAUUUGUGGUCUUAUUAUGAUAUAUAUAUUUAUAUAUUCAAACUUCAUGUUCUGUUGGUCUGUUUUUGUUUGGGAUUUUCUGUGUUUUGAGUUUAAUUUAAGUUGCAUUAGAGGAAUCUUUUGUCUGUUAAGAUCAUAGGGUAUUAUCAGUAUGGUAGCCAGAGUUUAGUUGGCUUUCAUUGCCUUAUUAGAUAGUGUUAACUUGGUUAACUUGUCACACUAGCGGUUCUGAUAAUAUCCUAACGGAAACUAUUAAUCAAUAAUUAUUUUGUCACAUUUUAAUAAUUUUAGUGACUGUUUUAUAAUUUUUCAAAAGUUGUGUGACUAAAAUAAAAUUUAGGUGGUUGUUUUGUCAGUGUAAUUUACUCUUAUAAUUUUUUUCAUAGAUUAAAAGAUAAGUUUGUUAUAUAUUAAUUUAUAAUUUCUAUCAUUUUUGAAGAGAUUAAACAAUUUUUUUUUAUUUUUAAGGGGGCUAAAAUGUAAUUUUAUUAUAUUAUUUUAUAAUGUCUUUAUUUAUAAGACUGGAUUAAAUUCUUUUCCUUUCCUUGGGCCUUUAGAUUUGCCUAUAGUUUCUCUAUUUAUAGGGAAAGAGACCAUUACCUUCCUUCCUUCCUUCCCAUCAAAACCUCUAUUCCCUUUCUCUACAACUUCGACCAUCCUUCUCAUCAACCCUCCACGCUGUUAUAAAUUAAACCGACCAUCUUUACCGUCAACUCGGUCUUGCAUCAACAUUACCAGAAACCACAUAUCUUUUGGAAGAAGAAAAUUUUGUAAAAGUCACACAAGUGGGGUAUAAGUUCAAUUCUUUUAUUAAGGAUUAAAAUUGAAUUAUAACUUUUUUUAAGGGAUGAAAGUGUAACUUUACUAUUUUAUUAACAAGUAAUUUUACAAAUUUAAAGGAUCAAAAAGAGAAUUUAACAAAACCAAGGGGCCAAACCAAAGACUCCCCUGCCCCUGUACAUAUCUAUAUUAGGGUGACUUCACCAUCAUUCCAUUUUUCCUUCACUUUGUCUUUGAUAUCAUCAACCAACCAUAAACUGCUUUUUGUCUCUUUAUUCAUUCAUCUCUAUCCCCAUCUCCAAUUUCUCUCUUCUUCUUUUUUCUUUUUCCAAUUAAAACUUUCCCUAAACCCACAAUAAAACAACACCAUGAGUCGUUUCUGGACUUUGCUCUCCAAUCUUCAUGCUUUAGCUGGGUAUAUUUUCUCCUUACAUCCUUCUUGUUUUCAUGUUUCAAUAAUUAAACUUUCUAUUUGAUUUUUGCUUUGAAUUUGUAAUACCUGCAGGCCUGUGGUGAUGUUGCUGUAUCCCCUGUAAGUAAAUUUCAACUAUACUAAUCAAUUUAUAUGGGUUUUCUCAAUUGUUUUCUGGGGAAAACUUUUGGAUUUUUUAAAUUAUUUUCAGAUAUGCCUCAGUGAUAGCUAUAGAAACACCAGGGAAAGAAGAUGAUGAACAGUGGCUUGCUUAUUGGAUCCUAUAUUCUUUGCUAACUUUAACAGAGAUGGUGCUUCAAUCAGUCUUAGAGUGGUAAGCUAAAAAAACAAAAAUAACUUUUUACCAUAUUUCAGACUUGGUUAAAUUUUGUUUUUACUUAUUAGUAUUACAAAAUUUUAGACUUAGUACCUAGUUCAAUCAUCAUCGUUCUUAAAAUAACAUGUCGAUCAUAUGCCACAUAAUAUAGAGAGGGCAGCUUAAUCGAUAUACCUACUUGAUUACAUUUUGAUAAAAGAAAUUAUGAUUUUAAUGAUUGGAUUGGAUUUUUUAAAUAAAAAAAUUGGCAGUAUAGGGACAAGUAACAUUAUUUGACCUAUUUCAAAUUUAUAUAUAUUUUUGGGUUUACAAAUUGUAAUUGGGUUUGUGAAUGGCAUGAAUUAUAGGAUACCAAUUUGGUACACAGUGAAGCUAGUGUUUAUGGCAUGGAUGGUAUUACCACAGUUUAGGGGGGCAGCUUUCAUAUAUGAAAGUUUUGUGAGGGACCAAAUCAAGAAGCAAGGGUUUUUGAGAGAGAAUAAUAAUCAUAAGAGCCAUCAUCAUCGUAGUGGGAAUGCUAAUUCUCCAAAUGGGAAAGGAAAGAAGAAAUUUGUGCACUUCAUCGUCCCCAAGAAAGUAAGUUACGAAUGGUGAAAUUUUUGUUUUACUCCCCCAAUUUUGGAUGAUCCAACUGUUAAAAAGAUUCUUAUGGGUUUGAUUGAUGUUGAUGUGGAUGGCAGGGGGAGCAAGAGGCUUACUGAGGGGGUGGCCAGUGGGUGUAAAUGACAAGUCCAUGUAAUCAAAAUAUGAUAUGAUAUACAAUCACUGUAGUGUACCAUACAUGGUUCAGCAUAUGAAGAAGUUGUUGACAAUUUCACUUUCAAGUUUCAGGUCAAUUGUGUGUGUUGUCAUAAUGGUAGGAAUUGUUGGAAGUUGUUUACAAUUUUUCUUUUUAUCCAUGCACGUCCCCAUUAUUGGUGGGUGAAUGCUCUUCGAUGUUGCCAACCAUGAGUACAUAUCCAACAACUUGUUUACAAUUUUCCAUACAAAAGCAAAUUAGUUGUCCCAACUUCUUAAAGCACAAGAUUUAUAAAAUAUAUCUCAGGUUAAUCGCCCAAUGUUGGCCUCAUCUGGAAACUACCAAUCUCGAUUUUUUUAGGGUGAAUUUAGAUGAACGGUGCGUUUAACUGCGGUUAAUAUAAAAAUAGUAGUGGUGGUGAGAUUAGAUAUUGUAGUAAUACUAUAGCGUGAGAUAAAAAGUAGGUUAAAUGUAUUAUAUCGCACUAAUCGUCUAUUCAAACUCACCUUUAGUUUAGUUUUAAAAUUUUAAGAAAAAUAUAUCAUUCCCAAACUAACUUUUACCUUUUUAAUUUUCAUAUGAUUAUACCCUCUUUUAUAAUUUUUCCUAUAAUUAAUAUUUAAUAAUCCAAUUAUCAAUAUAAUUGUACUAAUUAUGUAUGUGGAAGUUUGAAUUGAUUCGAUAUAUAUGGCUUAAAGAUGUUUAUGGGUCGGGUUUGGGUCGAUUUUAAACAUGGUAUACAUACAUUUUAUGUUUGCUCGAGUCUAACCCGGUUUAAAAUAUAAACUUUAAAUUUUGUCCAGAUCUACUCCGACUUAUAAAAGACUAACCAAGCUUUAUUUUAGGCAUACUUGUACAAUUUCAAAAUUUUAAGAAUAUUUAUAUUAUUUUUAAUUUAAUAUCUAACAACUUUAUAUAUUUUUCAUUUAUUAAAAUUAUAGAUAAACAAUUUAAGAUUUUUUUAAUAGGUGUACAACAUAAUAUUAUAUAUUAGUAUAUAUUUAAUCUUUAUGUGUUUAUAUUAUAAAUUUAGAAAACAAACUUAAUUGAAUUCUAACCUAAAUACUUAAACCCCAUUUCGAUUCAUAUUCUAAAUUAGCUUAAUUUUUGGAUAUAAUGUUGUUUUUACCAUAAAAUUUUUGCCAAAGGUUCUCAUACCUCACUAGAGGAGCCUCCAUGAUCAUCGAUCAACGAUAGAUUUCCUAUACAAUGAGAAAAUGGAACACUCGACUUAUUUACGAUUAAAAGGAAAUUUUCAACACUAGAGAUACAUAAUGGCAAAGUGAUGUAUUUCAUCAUCCAACUAUAUAAAUAAUAAUUUUAGCUUUUUAAAUUUACCUCGUAAACAUUUAAUUUAUUUUAAAAAUUAAGAAAUAAUAUGAUUUUUUUUUUAUAAAAUUAGAAGGCAAAAAAUUUUAUUAUGCCUUUGCAUAAUAAUUUUAAAGAUUAUUAAAGAACUCAAAACUAAUUUUACCCUUCAAUUUUUUGGGGCUCUCAAUCUCAAUGAUUUGUAGUUACCUUUAAUUUUGAUUUGAACUUAGUAAUACUUGAGUGAAAUGGUUCUCGAGUCAGUGAACUUUUCAUAUUUUAUAUUAUUAAAUUACGAUCUUACCCGUAAUAUAUAUAAUUAACCCUAAGCUUAAUUAUCGGGUCGAGCUUGAGUACAAAGAUUGGUAGGAUAAAAUAUGCGUUUAGUCCAUGUGCUUCUCAAAAACUAAAAAUUUAGCCCAUGUACCUGUAAUUCUAGGAAUUUAGCCCCUCUAAAUUUUAAAAAUUCAAGCCUAAUUUUUUUAAUAUGAUCAAAACAGUCCAAAAUGCAACACUUUGGAACGUGUACUUCCUACCAUAACGUUAGGCGGUAGUUCCCCAUAAAAAAAAAACCAUCAAAACAUUUCCCACUAUCACGUGAAAGUUGGGCAGCAAAAGAGGGGAGCAUUCCCAUGAACAAAAUGCAUGUCCAACAGAUUUAAGUAUUUUGAAAAUUUCAAAUAUUAUAAUUAUUUUUAAUUUAUUAUAAUUUAAUUAUAGUCAUAUAGGAAUAAAUUCAUUUAUUCAAAAUAAUUUUUUUAAUAGUCUCAAAAUUUUCAUGUGUAAUCAAAAUCUAUAUAUUAUAUAUUUCCCACUCUUUGUUUUUGAUAUUAAAUAAAGUUAUAACUAAAAUAUUAUUUAAAAAAAUUGAUUAUUGCGUUUUAAAUUUUUUUAUCUUUAAAAUUUGCUUUAUUAACCCAAAUAUGAUUAUUUUUAUAUUAUAAUUUUGAGUCUAAAAUCUAAUUAUUGCAUUAUAAAAAAUGAAUUAAGUCAAAGUUGAAAUGAUAAUGCAACUUUGAUGAAAAUGAAUUUAUUUUAAUCAAUACUCUUUAAUAUUAAUAUUUAAUUUAAACUUUAUUUUUAAAAUUUAAAAGGUAAAUCCCAUUGUUUUAAAUUCAUUAUUCUUUUUUUGGUAGAUGAAGAUAAAAUGUGUCUUAUACAAAUGAUGAUGCCGACUCCAUCCACUACAUUCAUUAUUUUUGUAACUUCAAUAAUAACCUUUUCUAUGGGAUAUCAAGAGAUUUUGCAGAAUUCAUAUGGCAUAGUGCCCCAUCUACAUUUAUUACGUUUCAACGCUACAAUUUAAAGUACUCUGAUCAGGCACAUCAAAUAUAUUUUAAUUUUCAAAUAUUUAUUUUAUAAUUUGAUAAAAGAAAUAUAAAUUAUGUACAUCUACAAAGUUCAAAUUAUUUGUAUUUGUUUUUUAAAGUUAAAAUCCCGUAUGAUACAUUAACCCUCUAUAAAGACAUAGCUACAAACAAGUGUAAAACAAACCACCAUUUCUCUUGAGUUUUCUGUGGGUGCAAUAUCAAUGGCUAAUCAUAUAGAUGUGAUUACAAAUAUCAUGAAUGUGAUAGUGCCUCCGUUUAUGCUCAUUGCUCUCCUUCUUGUUUAUCCACUUUAUCUUAUUUACAAGUUCAUCAACUUCAUAACAAGGCUCCUAACCAGUGAAAAUGUUGCUGGAAAAGUAGUGCUCGUCACUGGUGCAGCUGCGGGGAUCGGAGAGGUUUCAUAUCCCAUAAUUAAUCUUAAAUUCCUAAAUGAGUUAUAACUAUUGCAUGCAUGGUUGUUAAUUUUUUUUUUCAUUUUUUGAAGCAAAUCUCUUAUGAAUAUGCAAGAAGAAGAGCUCGGUUGGUGUUGGUGGACGUAAGAGGGGAUCUUCUAGGAAGGGUUGUGGAAAAUGUUAGAAGCUUUGGAUCUUCAGAUGUUAUUGCCAUUACAGCUGAUGUUUCCAAGGAAGAAGAUUGCAAGAGAUUUGUUGAUGAAGCAAUCAAGCAUUUUCGUCGAUGUAUGUUAAAUCUUUACACUUUUUUUUUUUUUUUGUCAAAUUUUUAUUUUAGUUCCUCUCAGAUCUGGGAUUUAGUCCAUAAAAAUACCAUUAAGUGAAAGAGCAAAUUGAUGUUUUUAUUAUAAACUUAUCUUUAUAUAGCAAUAUGAAGUAUACGUGGUACGUCACAUGUCAUUGUCUGAUCCGUUUUUAAGUUUGUAACUAUACAAAUAGAUAAAAAUUUUAAAGGAAAGGACUAAUUAUUUGCUUUUUAAUUUAAUGUAUAAAGAUUAAUUUACCUAAUUUUUUAGUAAAAGAUAAAAUUAGGAAAGAGAUAAAAUACAAUUUAACUCCUAGUGUAAGGUCCUCUAUGGUUUUUUUUUUUGGAUUUAGUCUUCAAAUAUGUCAGGUCAUAGAACUAAUAUAACAAAACAGUGGAAUUUUUUUACUAAAAGUAAGAGGAUUGAAAUAUGUGAAAUUAAAGAAUAUGGAUUAAAUAUUAAAUUUUGUCAUAUUAAAGGACUAAAAUCAUAAUUCGACCUUUGUCCCUUUUGUUAAUUUGUUUGGUUCUUGAUUAUUUUAUAAUUGAAAUUUGAAACAUGCAUGGAACAGUGGAUCACUUGGUUAAUAAUGCUGGCCUUGCAAGAGUAAAAUUGUUUGAGGAAAUCCAAAACUUUUCUGACUUCUCUUAUCUUCUGGUAAGAUAUAUUACUUCUUUUAAUUCCUUCUCAAUUUACAUUUUAAACCUAUAGUACAGUGGAUCAAAUUAUAAUUAUCAAAAAGUUUUAAAAAUAAGUACACUCAACUUCAUAUUUAGUGACUCGUCAUCAUUUUGUUUAGGGUAAGUUAAAAAAUCUUUUUAGGGAGGGGUUGAGAUUAAAGAGGCUUAAGUUGUCUUUGUAUCUUUAUAGUUUUUAAAAUGAUUAAAUCAAAAUUUUAUAAUUCUUUGGGGGUAGACUAUAAUUGUACUUAUAAUUUUAUAAAUUUUAGAAUUUUCUUAUUUUAGGGAGUUAUGACUCUUGCCUAUUCGAUUUACUGACAUUCGAUAUAGGUUUAAAUAUAACAGAGUUCCAUAUAUUCUUUCAAAUUUUAAAAUUUAAUUUCUAUACACAUUAAUUCUCUAUACUUCUUCAUUUAAAUGUAGGUUUUAAAAUCAUGAUUUUCUCACUAAUUUUACAAUUACGAAAAAGGUAAUAGAAUGCAUAUAGUUUUUGCUAAUUUUGUUUUUAUUUUUUACAAGGGCAUAAAAAUUUAUAAAUUUCUUAUAUUUUCUAUAAAAAUCCUACUUUUCUUUAAAGAUAUAUUAUUUUUGAAAACAUAUAUUAAAAUUCAAGAAAUAUAUAUAUAAUUUCAAAUUUUGGAAAAAUGUGUUCUUUAUGGUAAUAAAGUCUUUUCAAGAGCUAUUCGUUUGAUUAAUAUUAAAUUAGAUUUUAAUAUAAUUUUGAAGUUAUAUUAAAAAAUAAUUUUUUAAAUUUAAAAAAGUAGAUAAUAUACUCUUUUUGAACUUUUGGAACUUUAUGUUAUUUAUAAUUGAUACGUUUUUUUUCAUAAAUUUCAAAAUUUUUAUUAUUUUUAAAUUUUUUUAGGAUUUUUUAUUUUUUUAUAAAUUUUAAAGAAUAAUGAUCAACAAAAAAAUAUAAAGCCAAAAAAGACUUAUUAUGAGAUUUUAUAAAUAAAAAUAUAGGGGAUUGAAUGUCAAGAGUGAACUACAUGGAUUAAAUUUUAUAUUUAAGACUCUAAUAUAUUUAAAUCUAAACUCAUAAUCUUUAAACUUUGAAUCGAAAAAUAAUAUGUGCUUAAGCACGCUUAAAUUGACGUCUUUGUACACAAUGUAAUUGAAUUAAGACUUAAUUAAAAUUUUAAUAUUAAAUUUAUUUUUAUUAUAUAAAAAUUAAAAAAAUAUAUAAAAUCUUAAAUACGCAAUAUAUACAUAAAAAUUUAAAUGUAUACAUUUCCAUACGGUGUAGGACGUGAACUUGUGGGGAGUGGCUUUUGGCACAUAUUACGCCAUUCCACACCUAAGAAAAACUAAAGGGAAGAUCAUUGUCAUGGCUUCCUCCGUUGGAUGGUAUCCUUUCCCGCGCUUCAGUUUUUACAAUGUAAGCCAUUUUUUUUUUUUGUCAUUUUCUCUAUUUAACCCAACAUUUCUUCUUUUUCAAAAUUGAAUCAUAAGUCGAACCAAUCUCCGAACUAAUACUUUAAUUUAUUCUCAAUCUGACCAAUCAAUCCGUAUCAUCCAACAUCACCAUACAAACGUAAAUAUUUUGUGGUUCAGGCAAGCAAGGCAGCAUUGAUCACCUUCUACGAGACGUUGAGACCGAGAUUGGCAAUUCCAACAUUGGCAUAACAAUUGUCACCCCGGGAUUGGUCAAGUCGGCUUUGUCACAAAACGAACCUGCAAAGGUACACUCAUACAUCUAUUUUUAUAAGCUAAAUUGACAGAAAUAUAUAAUUGAAAAAAGUAUAUUCUAAGAUUAAAUUAGAACCUUCUAUUUUUGUCCGUACAUUAUUAUUUUUAGGAUGUCUAGUUCUACCCAUACUCAACAAACUUAGCUUGAUUAAUUUGAAUCUAAAGUCGAUCAAAUUUAAAGAUUACAAUAUUUGAGCUCGUCUUCAAGGUUCAAUUUGAUAUUUAAGAUUUUUCUAUCUAAUUAGAUGUUUAAACUUAGCUUAAUGCUUAAUUUAAUACCUAUUUUUUGUCCGAUUAAGUCGUUGAAUUUGACCUUUUAAUUCAUAUUAGUACUUGAACUUGGCUUUACAAAUUAAAUUUAUUCAAAUAAAAUAAUUUAUUGUAAGUGCUAAGUUAAACUAAAAAGUCAAAUUUAAGUAUCUAAUUGAACCAAAAAAAAUUUAAAUACUAACUUUGCAACAUCCUCAAAACCUCCUUGGUCGUAAAUAAUAUAAGAUAAAAUCUUAGUGAAAUAAGAUAUAAGAUCAAAGAAAAUGAAAGUUGCAAGAUAUUAAAAGAGAGUUAAAUUAAGAAGCAUGACAUGAUGUAUAAUGGAUUUCUUGAUAAAAUGAGAAAAAGAUAUAAAGAUGAUAAAAGAGAAUAUUGAGUAUUAAAAUAAUAUUAUUAUUAUUUAAGUAGGUUUUAGUUUAUUGAUUUAAAGUAAGGACUAAAUCAUAAAUAUGUGAAAAGUUUUUGGCUCAAGUGUAAAUAUUCAAAAUUUAGGGGAUCAAAGUGGAAAAAUAAGAAAUUUGAAGGACCAAAAGUAAAAAUAAACUAAUUUACUAUGAUAUGAAAUUGGCAUGUAGGGACCAAAUUGAAUAGGUGAAGAAUUAUGAAGGACUAAAUUAUAAUUUUACCAAAUUAACUGAUAAUUUUAAAAUACUCAUAAAGGGAAAAAUGGUUAAUUAAAAAGAGAGAGAACUCUAGAAGGUAAGGAUGAUGUUGGAGAUAUUUUAAAGAUAUUUUGUAAUUAUUUAAUUAGAUAAUAUUACUUUAUUAAUAUUUUUAAAGAGAUAUUUUAUUAAUAUUUUAUUAUAAAUAGCUAGUAUAAAAGGAGAGAAAGAUGAAGAAGAAAAAACAAAUCCUCCAUCCUUUCCAACGUGAAGUGACGGGGGGAGGAAGAAGAAGAGACAGAACCUUUGUUGUCAUUACAAAUUGGUCAUUGUACCAAAAUCUAUCAUUUUCACCUAGAAUUUUAAGAAAUUUCAUAUCACCAAGAGAGAAAAAUGAUAAGGAGAUUAGGAGAACAAGAAAAUUACCUUGGAUUCAAGAAAAUGAAAGUUGGGGGGAGAGAGAAAAUCAAUUAAAGUUUGAAAUAAUAGGACAAUAUAAGAACAUCAAGAUUUUAAUAUAUUUUAAGUUUAAUAUUAUUGAAAAAAAGUAUGAAAAUGAUGUUAAAAGUAGAGUUUCUUAUAUAAGGUUUUAUGUUCUUAAUAUGUUAGUGAAGGGGAAAUAAGAGGAAGUGAUGAGAAAUAUGUUACAGAAAAGAAGAAUGAGGUGUUGGGUGUUAUAAAUUUGAUGAUUCGCAGCCUUUUGCAUUAAAUAGUUUUGUGAUAGCAACAGUAGUUUGACUUGUUGAAAAAUUUCACCCACAAACAUUGGUAGAAAUUAAAUUAGAGGUUAAUCAAAGCAUGAAAUUAAAGCCUUAUUGAGUCUAGUUUUACAUAGAAGAAUACGGUUAAGAAAAAAUAAUUUCAUAUUAUGAGAUAUAUGAAUUUUGUGAAAUAAUGUCAGAUUAAUUUCGGGUUCCUCUAUUCUGACUAUUUUUAAAUUCUUAAUGAGUCUAUUUCAAGAGAACAAAUGGAAACAUCAUCCAAACCCGUACUAAAAGAUAAUUAAUUUUUAGUAAAGAAAUGCCGAAAUGUUCAAGCAGCAAAAUAGGGACCAAUUUAAAGAAUUUAAUGUACUUAUUGGCUAAAUUAUAAAUUUUAAAAUUUUAAGGUAAAAUAUAUUUGAGUCUAAUUUCAAAAACAUCAGCGGAUCUUAAUUUCAAAUUCUAUAGAUUAAGAUAUAAAUAAUUAUGUAACUAUGACUCAAGUGGACAGUUUUGCUAUGAACACAUAAGUAAAUAUUGUAAUUCUAGCUAAUGUUACAUAUAAUAACAUGUAUGUACUAAAAGCUAAAGAUUCAAAUAAAUUAUAUACAUAAAGGAUGUGGAAAUGACGAGAGGAGGAGGAAUAUAUAUAAGAAUGUAUCUAAGUAUAGUAGAUGACAUUUGAAAUGUUUUGAAAUGGUUGUAGGUGAUGGAAUGAUUAAUACAUGUGAGUAUGAUCUUAAACGAAUUGAUAAAAUAAUAAGUAAAUGAUUGUUAAUUGAUGUGAUAUUGAAUUCUUGUUAAAAUUUUAUGAAGAAUUAAAUUGAUUGACACGAUUUAGAAAUAAAUAUGAAAUAUACAUAAAGUGGGUAAACUAAUUUUGCUAGUGCAAGUCCUCAAAUGGUCUUAUUUGUAAAAUUUUAAUAUUUGUGUUAAUUUUAUAAACUUUGUUAUCUUUGAUUGAAUAUCAUGUUUUAUAACGGGACUUGAUAUUAGAAAUAGUAUGUAAGUGGAUGAUAUGUAAAAUAAAGUGGUGGUUAUGCUAUUAUGAAUACGGUUCAGAUAAUGAUAUAAAAAAAAAUAAAGGUGGAACUGGUAAGAAAUGGAACCGAUGUCACGAUGACAAGUUUGCCAUUGUCGCCCGAUGUUUGGUUGCGACGACAGUUCACAAAUCUUUAUUGAACUUUACAAAUUGGCAUUUGAUCAAUUGGGAUGUUUUAAUGAGCUCCUUUAACUCAUAAUUAAUUUUAUCGUAGAUUUCAAUUAUUACUUUUAGUUAAUGAUCUACAUUAAUUAAAUAAUAUGGUAAAUUAAUCUGACAUUUUUAAUAGUUGCUUCAACACUGAAUGUGAUAUAUAUUGAUACUUUAAUUUGACAAUCGAAUUUCAAUAUAAAAGUAUUAAAAACUUGAUAUUAAAACUAAUUCAAGUAUUUAAUAUAUUUGAAGUAUAAAACCAAGGUAUAGAUAUCCCAAAUAUAAAAUCAAGCGUAAUCAAAAUCCAAAAUCAAAUGGAUAAACUUGAAUAGAUUUUAAAUCGAUAAUAUCACAUUUGUGAACUUUUUUUUUCCUCAUUAUAAUAUAAUUGUCAUUGGGAAGUAACAAAUACAAUGGACUGGUGUGCUGACAUUUGAUUGAAACUUAUGGUGGGUAGGCAGCACUUGGAUGGAUCCCACUGGAAUCAGCAGAGAAUGUGGCAAAGCAAUAGUGAAGAGUGCAUGUCGAGGAGAUAAGUACGUGGUGGAGCCAUCAUGGGUUAACUCACUUUUGCAUUGAAAGUGAUGUGCCCUGACCUGGUUGAAUUUUGCAAUCGCUUCUUAUUUAUUUCUGCAGAGAGAAAACUACACCACCCACCACUGACACCCCCAUAAAAGCUUCAUACCAUCUGAAUUAAAAUCUGAUUGAUUCACUGGUUGCUGUAGUCAGAAAAAAAAAUUUAAUCUCUCCGUAUAUCAAUAAUUUCGAUGGUCGUGUUGGUAGAUUUUAUUUCGGGUAAAAUACAAGUAAAAGUUUUUUUUUUUUUUUUUAUCAACUCGGUAAAUAAUUAUUUAUUGGAAUGAGCUUUUUUUUUCAAAAACGCAUCCACGUCAGUACGAUGUCAGGGUACGUGACGGGAAAACGCGUCCUCAAGGACGCACUUUGUUCACAUGAAUAGAAAACGCGCUGACGUGGAAGCGUUUUGUUGCCACGUCAGCGCGUCCCAGGAGACGAGUUUUUCCUCACGCGUGAACAGUGUCAACAGUUAUUUUUACUGUUGGCCCCGCCAACGGUAAAAAAAAAAAUAUAAAAACCCCUCACCCCUUCAUUUUUUGACAAAUUAAUUAUUUCUCAAUUUACUUCAAUUUCCUUUCAAUUUCUCUCAAAUUCUAUUUAAUCUCAAUUUGCUCUCAAUUUGCUCUUAAAUUUCUCUUAAUCGCUAUUUUUAAUUAUUUUAAAAAAAUUUAAAUUUUUUAAAAAAAAUUUAAAUCGUAAAAAAUUUGUACGAAUUUAGCAAUUGCCGGAGAAUUGAUUCGUCUUGAUAACAAGCACAUAUCCAUCGAACAAAUGAAAAUGGUAAGUGUUAAAUUUUUUUAAAUAUUAUUUGAUUUUUUAUUUAUGUAUUUUUAAAUAAUUAUUAAUUUAUUAUUUGUUAUAAAAGUCUGUAGAUCGAAUAUUGGAAUGCUAUAUCCGGAAUAUGCAUGGUCCUCCAUCACCGUUGGUAGAGAAUUACCUGCGGGAAGUGGGUUUUUGGCACAUGGCGACAGUAGGCCGGGGGGAUGCAAGUUGGACCCGAAACUUAUCAGUACGUUGGUUGAAAGGUGGAGACCCGAGACGCACACAUUCCAUCUUCCAUGUGGAGAGUGCACUAUCACUUUGGAAGAUGUCAAUAUGCAAUUGGGAUCGGUGGACGGGUACCCAGUCACCGGGUCUGUUCAAUUUGGCGAUUGGGGAGCGGUGUGCUAUGAGCUUUUAGGCGCUAUUCCGGAGAAAAUUAACGGAGGUUAGAUCGAGAUGGGCUGGUUACAAGACACAUUCCUAGAUCCGGAUGAUGAUUCAACCAAAGUAGAAAGAAUCCGAUAUGCUCGGGCAUACAUUCUUCAGAUAAUUGGAGGUUAUCUGAUGCCGGACUUGUCACGAAACCUUGUACAUCUAAUGGCUGCUAAAACUCGUUUGAUUUUAGCAGCUGGAGAAUUGAGUUGGGGCUCUGCCGUGUUGGCAACAUUAUAUCGGGAGAUGUGCGGGGCGACGCGACCGAGUAAAGCGAAAAUCGGAGGUUGCCUGUCACUACUGCAGUCACGGGCACGAUUUCGCUUUCCAUUUUUACGUCCUCGAGUGUACCACCUAUAUACAUUCCCACUAAUAACGAGG